UCAAGUGCCUACUCCUGUGUCAGGCAGUGCUGAGAUGCUGAGGAUACAGCAGCGAACAAAACAGACAAAAUCUCUUUCUCAAAUGAUUUUUAAAAAGAAGAUUUGCGUAAUAUGGGAAAUGCUAGUUUUUAAAAUGCUAGAUAUAAAAAGUAGAAUAUGAAAUUGUGUACACAUUGACCUCAACUGUGUGAAAAUGAUCAGAAAACACCCGAAAGGAAGUACAUGAAAAUAUCAGCAGUCAUUACUUUGCAUUUGGAUUGUAUAUGAGUUGUUUUCUUUUUGUAUUUUUCAGUAUGUUCUAAAUUUUCCAUGAAAAUAUAUUGCUUUUUUUAAGUUAGUAAAAUAAAGAUAAAACUUAAUUGGUGUUAUUUAUUACAUGUUUGGAGCAUUUUCUUUAAAUAGGAAAACAGGAGCUUAUGUCCAUACAGUGAUGAGAAUUUAACAGUUCUAAUUAAAAUUAACAGAAUUUGUGAUUUUAUUGAGCUCUUAAAACAUUUUUGGUUUUACUGAUAUAUUUAAAGCCUUUAAGAUGCUACUUUCAUUAAAACACUUCUAUAAUAAACGUUAAUUGUGUAUUGAACAGAUAAAAACUACAUUCAACAGAUCAAAAAGCCCAACAUAAUGUCAGUUUGAUUAGGUAAAUGUAAAUUUAACAGCAGGGUGAUUCUUCAGGCUUCUUAUUUUACAUGCCAUAAAGACUGCAGUACUAUGACUAUUUAGGGUAAUGUUUUUUCUUUCUUUUUUUCCUCUCCUUUUCUUAAAGUAAAAUGGGAGAAAUGAAAUUUCCAUUGCAGCUUUAUUUCCUAUAGUGAAGAAUUCCACUACUUUAAUUAUGUAAACUUUAAUUAUGUUCUGUACUUUUAUGUAAAUUUAUUUUGAGUAAUUGGGUUGUAUUUUGAAAUGUUUUAGAUAGAGUCUCUUAAGUUUUGGAAUUGUUUUUAUACUUUGUGUUUAAAAAUUGGUUUGAACUAAUAAAGAUAUUUUAAAUUAAAUUUAAAAUUAUGAGAGAUUUCAGUAACAGCUUAAGAUUUUUAAACUUAGGCCAGGAAAAUCUGUAUUUGGGUUGCGUCAAGAGUUUAUAUGUCCCGUGUAAAUGUACAUGAGAUUUAAAACUGACAUCUCAAAAUUACUGAAAUUAGCGUGAAAUUCAAUCAUGUCAGAGCCACUAAACCAAAACCAAACCCACUGCCCUGGAGUCAAUUCUGGCUCAUAGCAACCCUAUAGGACAGAGUAGAACUGCCCCAUAGGGUUACCAAGGAGUGCCUGGUAGAUUUGAACUGCCAACCUUUUGGUUAGCGGCCAUAGCUCUUAACCACUAUCCCACCAGGGUUUCUAGUGCCUAGUCCUGUGUCAGGCAAUGCUUAGAUGCUUAGUGGGGUUUCUAGUAAGGGCAAAAAGCCCAGUUAGAGAAUUGAAAGAAUGUCAAAAAUCUUGUGUAGACAAGAGGUCUUAUGAAUUAGGUAUUGUUGUUGUUGGGUGCUGGUGAGUCAGCUCCAACUCAUCCAAAAAAAAAAAAAAACCCACUGCCAUUUAGUCUAUUCUAAUUCGUAGCAACCCUGUAGGACAGAGUAGAACUGCCCAUAGGGUUUCCAAGGCUGUAAUCUUUCUAGAAGCAGAUUGCCACUUCUUUGUCCUGCAGAGUAGCUGGUGGGUUUGAACAGCUGAUCUUUCAAUUAGCAGCUGAGUGCUUUUAACCAUUGUGCCACCAGGGCUCCUUAGGCCACCCUACAUGACAGACCAGAACCGCCUCAUAGGGUUUUCUAGGCUGUAAUUUUUAUGGGAGCAGACCUCCAGGUUUUUUCUCCUGUGGAGCUGCGGAUGGAUUUAAACUGCUGACCUUUUGGUUAGCAGCUGAACUGCUUAACCAUUGCACCACCGGGGCUCCUUGGAUUAGAUAUUGUUGUUAGGUGCUGUCGAGUUGGUUCCGACUCAUAGUGACCCUAUGCACAAUGGAACAAAACACAGCCGGGUCCUCUGCCAUCCUUACAAUUGUUGUUAUGCUUAAGCCCAUUGUUGCAGCCACUGUGUCAGUCCACCUUGUUGACAGUCUUCCUCUUUUCCGCUGACGCUGUGCUUUGCCAAGUGUAAUGUCCUUCUCCAGGGACUGAUCCUUCCUGACAACAUGUCCAAGGUAUUUAAGACGCAGUCUCGCCACCUUGCUUCUAAGGAGCAUUCUUUUCUCUGUUUAUCAUGAUGUUGCUCAUCGGUCCAGUUGUGAGGAUUUUUGUUUUCUUUAUGUUGAGGUGUAAUCCAUACUGAAGGCUGUGGUCUUUGAUCUUCUUAUUAAGUUCUUCAGGUCCUUUUCACUUUCAGCAAGCAAGGUUGUGUCAUCUGCAUAAUGCAGGUUGUUAAUGAGUCUUCCUCCAAUCCUGAUGCCACGUUCUUCUUCGUAUAGUCCAGCUUCUCGGAUUAUUUGCUCAGCAUACAGAUUGAAUAGGUAUGGUGAAAGCAUACAACCCUGAUGCACACUUUUCCUGACUUUAAACCAAUCAGUAUGACAUUGCUUUUUCACAAGAUGAGGUCAUGGAGAGCCAGAGUCUUUCUGAAGAUCUCACAGUUGGAGAGCUGGGAACAAAAUUCUAUUUCCACAGCCAGUGAUUGCACCAGCUAACACUCAUUUCUGCCCCUUCCAGCGAGUGGGGCAUGAGGUGAAGGGUUAUUGGCUGCAGCUUCGGGGCUGAACUCAAUUGGGAAAUGGAAGUCAACUGAAGAGGACUCAGGUUGUUUUCUUUCCAGUUUUAUCAGAAAAUAAAAUGGUGGCUGCACCUCUACCUCCAUCUCUUCUCUGUGAGGUGCUUUUCCCUCUAAAGUGUGUAGUACAGUCACAUCACAGGGGCGUGCCCCAGACAUGUCUAUUGUGAACCCCAGAAUUGAGAAGUUGGUUGUAUGCCUUUCGGGUUAAUUUUGCCCUUCUAUGGAGUGCAUCUGUUGGGGCCUGGCCAGUGCGAGUAGUCACUCUCUCUAAUUGGGGCUGGUGGGAUUGCUGUCUUUGUGUUGUGGUUGAAGUGCUGACAGCCCUGGUGGCACAAGCUUUUGACCAGAGUUGGUGAUCACGGACAAAGCAAAGCCCUCAGCCAGUGUGACAUUUAACAUGUGAAAGCCCCACCUCCAAACAGUGGUCUGGCCUGCCCAAUGCCUCUUGUAGCCCCCUUUUUGUUUAGUUUUUUUCUUAAUGUAGUUACAACUGUGAGUUGAAACUUGAGACUACUUCCUCAGUGUGCUCAGCAUUCUGUUACAGAGAUCUGCUCAGAUUGUCACCCCCAGUGUAUCCUUUGCCAUCACCAGGCUCCAGCAGUGUGCGGGUGACCUCUUUCCCCUUAGGGAAUUAAAAUGAAAGGACAUAGCAUUCAGUUUGGCCCUAACAGGAAAACUGUAUCCUCUAACAGACCCACUGCUGAGUUGGACAUGCAACACAGCAGAAAGAAACUUUUCUCAAGUAAUACAGCAUUUCCUAUUGAUUUAUUUGGGCUCUAAAGAGUUGGGGGAUCAGGAUUUUCCUGCUUCCUUAUCUGCCUCUAUUCCCACCCCCUUGCUGUCCUCUGACACAGAAUCAACAGUACUUUCCCUGCUAUUUAGGUUAAAGAAAAAAAAAAAAUCGGAGAACAGAAUGGCCCACUCUCCAUUGUAUCGUUAGACACUUCUUGAUUAUUUUAUUUAAGCAACAUGUUUUUAAGUCUCAUCUGCUGUAUGCUGUGUUUUAUUCUUCUCUAUCGGUAGAAUAAGGUAUUGUUGAGAGCAUAGACUCUGGAAAGAGUCUGCUUCUAUUCCAGUCCUGGCUCUGCCUUUUGUUAGCUGUGUGACCUUAGUCUUUGAAUACUUCUGUACCUCAGUUUGCACAUUUUAAGAGUGUGAUAAUUAUGGUAUCUUCCUCAUUGGGUUAUUAUGAUGAUUAAAUGUACUAACACAUGAAACUCUUAGCAUGUAAUAAGUAAUCAAUAAGAAUGACUGUUCUGUUGCUAACCAACUCAAUCUCUCUUUCUGGACUGUUGUUGUUAGAUACCAUUGAGUCGAUUCCGACUGAUAGUGACAGCAGAAUGAAACACUGCCUGGUCCUGCACUGUCCUCACAAUUGUUGCUCUGCUUGAGCCCGUUGUUGCAGCCCAUGUCAGUCCACCUCGUCGAGGGUCUUCCUCUUUUUUGCUGACCCACUAGAUUAGUGCAUUGCAGAAAGCAUUUUAAAAUAUGUAUCCAGGACAUGGUUUUUAAUAUAUAACUCUUUGAUUUUUUUUCUUGAUGUAGAAUAGUGUAUUACAUGACCCUGGAUUAGAAUCUGUAUAAACUCUAAAACAGAAGCGUUAUGACAGUCACUAGAGGAGAACUGGAAUUAGUUGGUGUCAGUAUGAAUGGAGCAGAAUGAGAUAAAGAGCAAUUGUAAUAGCACACCCUGGGAAUCAAUGGGAAUUUUACAGUAAUUGUGAUUAUGGUAACAGUUGUACUAGAUUUUCCCAGUAGCUUUUUAUUUCAAAGAUUUUCAAGGGAAAUGUACAGCCCCUUAAAAAAAUCUGCAUGAAAAAAUUUUUUUAUCACUUUUAUUUUCUGUGGAAGGUAAAAAGUGAGCAAGAAAAUGGUUGAAUAAUUUCCCCAGGGAAUAAUACUAGAUCAAUAAGUGGUGAAUCCAAGGAGCUUAAUUUCUGAUUUGCUUCUUUAAGAUCUACAAAUCCUAGUUCUCUCAAGAUGGGAACAAUUUGCAUGUGAAAUUUAGGGGAAAAGUUGUUUGGAUUAAAUCCCUUAGGUGAAUGUAACGUGGUUUUCUUCCACAAAGAUAUUUAAAUGGUGGAAGAAAUGCUCCCCGUCCCCUGCCUGCACCUCCCCCCAUCCCCUCAGGAACAAAUUGAUAGGAACAGCCCUUGGUAGAAACUGGAAGCAUCGUUAGCUUUUUUCUAAGCAUUAGUAUGUUUUUCUAGUACUUUUAGAGCUGAAUAUUCAGAAUUAAUAGCCAAAUCUCUUAAGAUUAAAACUCAUGGCUCUAUUAUAAAAGUUUCUCUUGGGGUCAGCCUUACUCAUGGGUGGAGUGAGCCCUAAAUAAGUUGUUUCACUUUAGCAGCUGAGAAAUGCCUUUGAAUUCCCUCCAAAUAGCUCUUUUAUCUAUCCACUCUUUGAAAUUCCACAUUUUUUUUUUUCCGUGAAUUUUCGUGUUCUGAAUCUCCUAUACAAAUAUCCCAGGCAUAGCUAAGAAAUAAUAUGUUCAGCCUUAAGUAAUGUGUUGGUGAAUUUAAGAACUCUUUUCUAGAUUAUGGGAUUUUUGUUUUGUCUUAGUAGCACUGAGUAGAGAGAAUACCAUGGGUGUAGGUCCUGGGGAGUGGGGUGGGAUGGGGAGUAAGAAGGUGAUGCCCCACAAUGGGGCGUGGGCAUAACAGAAAAACUGGGUGACUGGAAGGCCAGAUGUUUUGUGCUUUUCUCUUUUGCUCUGGGCCAAGUGCUUUUUCUUGGUCUUUGAGUAAACAGAAAAACAAAUUCAAACUUUACACCUCUAAAGUUUCAUUUAUAUCUUUGAGAGGGUCUGAUGCACUUUACUUCUGUUUGAUUAAGAGCUUGGAAUCACUCUUUUUUCCUGGGAGGAGAGGGAAGAUACCUGAGAACUGAAUGAUGACAGUUUCAGUGAAAGUGGAAAGAUUUUCAGAUUAUUCCCGAGCUCUCAUGGUAGACUUUAGGACUGUUCCCAGAGUUCAGCUAUUCCUCCUUUCAGUAGGCUCCAGAAGAAAAUUCUAGGUAAUAAAGAUGAAUACUUAAUUCAUGGCUCUUAAGAGGAUAAAAACCGAAGGAAGAGUUUGUGUCGUAUCAACUUCAGCAAUGGCAAUAGAGCUGCAAGGGCUCCCCAGAGGACCUAGCUCCCUGCUGCAGUCACUGGCACCUGCAGAGCUAGCCUUGGCCUCUCAGCCCAGCAGCACACACCUGCCUAGCCCUUGUCUAAGCACACUGGGGAGGCCAUUUAAAGCCUUGACAGUAGGCAUUCUUGAAUUGUGCCGUCCUGUGGACGAGCCUAUUUGUCCCAUAUCUCGAGAGAUUCUUCUCUGCCUGUUUCCUUAUAAGUUGCUUGACAGAUGUAUUCUGCUCCUGUCCAGGCAUUUUUUCAGAACCCUGACCCAUCCAUACUUAGAGUCUAACCCUUGUGCUUCACUUUUUCCCAGCUCCAGUUGCUCUGUUGUUACUUUUACCUUCGUGACUCACAGUCAUAGCACAACUCCUGCCCAUCAGAAUGGUCCCUUCAAUCUUUUUUUCUACCCUGGUGCCAUUCUAAUAGUUCCCACCGCUAAAUUUCCCUAGGUCCUGGCCUUCCAGCCAGCCUGUGGGUAGGUGUCCACUUGUGACUUGGCCAUCUCACAGAGUGGUCUUUCUCUAGAAUAAAGAAGCAAAGAUAUUUAAAGCCAAAGACCAGGCAGGACACUGGAAAUUGAGGACACAUAAGCCGUGAGGCAUGAACAAGUAAAGAAAUAAAAUGUCUGGCAGAGAAAUAAAGAUAUUUUUAUCCCGUGAGUUGAAAUAGAAUGAAAUUACAGGGUUUGGGGAUGUCCUCUGACCCUCUGCUAAGAAAAAUAUGAAAAGAGAUUAUGGAAAAUUCUACACUUAAAAGACACGAAGAUCUUUUUUAUUAUCCUUCAAAGAGAAAGGUUAUUUCAUUUUAUGAUGGUUUCAUGAGCAAACUUCAGGUUAUACAAGUAUAUGCCAAAAGAUUGUAAUCAUAGGCAGUAAAUGAAUAACCAUGUCGUUAACAGUGCUGUGGGUUUUGCUAGACAUAGUAUGUCUUCAGGGAGCUUAUAGUCUAACAUACACAGCAGUGAAACACAUAAAAAUUAAUUCUCUAGUAGAUAGAUCUACUUACAAGUCUUCUUUUGCUGUGGCUUUUCUUCCUUAAAAUUUCUUAUUAAAAAAGUGACAUAAAAACUAAAGUUAUUAAGUUUGCUUUCAAUAACUAGAAAUGAGGCCAGAGUGAUAUUUUGUUACCAAGGCAUACUUGUGUGCUAAGUGAACUACUUCGGUGCAUUUACUUAAAUGGCUGGUUUUACUGAGGAUCACCUGCUCCUUUUCUGAGCUGAAAGAAAAUAGAGGAGAUUACACUUUUUUCCCUGUCAUGUUUGUGGCUGAAAUUAGAGAAAGACCAGUGUAUUGGGUUUAAUAGUGUGAUACUGAUGAUGAUGAUUUUCAAUAAUAAAAAUAGUAGCCAGCUUUUAUUGAGCACAUUCUGAGUGCCUGGCCUUGUGCUACGUUCCUUCCUAACAUUAUCUCAUUCGAUUGUCUAAUUCUGUGAAUUUCGUAGCUUGAUUCCACAGCUGAGGAAACCUUAGAGAUUGAAGUGGGUGCCUUGGGAUUCUCUGGGGAGACAGAACCAGUGUGUAACUAUAUAUAUAUGAAACCAAAAAAUCCAAACCUGUUGCUGUUGAAUUGAUUCUGACUUGUAUACACACACACACACACACACACACACACACACACACACACGUAUAUAUAUAUGUAUAUAUAUACACCGAAACCACAUAUAUGUAUAUAAAGAGAGAGAUAUUGAUUAAUCAAUUUACUUCAAGGGACUGGCUAAUGCGAUUGUGGGGCUGGCAAGUCCAAAAUCCAUAGGUCAGGUGACAGGCUAGAGACUCUUCCUUGUAGGAGUUGUGGGAGGUUGCCAAAUACAAAAUCUGUAGAUCAGGCUGCAGGCUGGAGACUUCUGUAGACUUACAUCUUAAGAUCUGAAGGUCAGGUGAUGGGAAGAGUGCAGAGUGAAGAAGAGAGUGAGUUCUGCCAGAAUACCUAUUCAUAGUCUGGAGGCUGACCACACCCCCUGUGUAUACUUUCCUUUCAACUGAUUGAUUGAUUAUGUUAGAUUACAUUACGGAAAGUGAUUAGAUUACAUUAGACUACCUUAUGAAACAGCAGCUAGCAUAGUGUUUGGCCAAAGCCCUGGGAAUCAUAGUCUAGACAAGUUGACACAUAAAAUUAACCAUCACAGAGGUAAGGGCUGUAGGGUCACAAUGAGUCGGAAUCGACUCAAUGGCAAUGAAUUUUUUUUUUUCAAGGUCCCACAGAUAGUGACUGAGCUAGGGCUCAAGUCCUUCUGUUUAACAUGAAAACAACAGAUUGGCUGAGAAUUGUUGGAGAUCCCUUGAAGGGACAUUUGAGUUUGAAAGCUCUUUGUGAAUUCAAAUAGUUUAUGUACUUACUGAAAUUUUGACUUAUUUCCACCAUAAUGAUCACAGUAGGGAUUUAUGUAUGUGGGAAGAAUCCUAGGAAAAGGCUCAGAAAGAGCACUUGAGAAUGUUGUGAACAGACCAAGUAGCAGGAAGUUAAAAAGAUAUAUUUGGUGUUUAAGGUUGAGACAGGUGGUUUCGCUAGUUAUAUGGAAUCGAGGAUUCUCUCAACUUGCUGGAGUGGGGUUUGACCUUGCACUAUUGGAGCUCACCCAUCACACCUUGCUGGAAAGGGGAGAUGUCAUUAUCCACGUGUGCUGUGAUUACCCUGCAGCUAUCUGGAACUCAGCUAACAAGUGGAGAGUAAUGUGGAAAAGGCCCAUGAGAAAUGAAAUCAGAUGCCAUGAAAUUCAUGGAUUGUAACCCAGGCCUUGAUUCAGCCUGUUUGCUCUUACCUGAAACACUGGUUUCCAAGAUUAGAGCAGUGAGAGAGGCUGCAAACUAUAAAAGACAGAGGGAGGAGAGACUUUGCAAUGAGCAGACAGGUUGAGAGUGGUAGGAAAUAAUAGCUGAUUGACUAAACUGGGUGGAAAAAACUUUGAAAAAGCAAACAUAAACCCAAAAUACACCACAACCAGGGCCCAUUUAGCCUAAACUAAAACGUCCUUUCACACCAAAGACCAUUUGACAGGAAGUAGUAAUUGUCAUUCAUAAUGAGUCACCAGGAGUUCAUAUCAGGUUUAGAGCUCUCUAUUUAAGAAGGUCUAGAACUGUGUAGUACAUUCUAGAAGGGACCUUGGAAAAUUAGAAAGAUGUUUUAGAGCUCAAAGGAAUGAGCCUUCAUUUACCUAGGGGGGGAAAAAAAGUUUCCCCAUAAUGUUCCAUGCUUCCUAGGGUGCUGGAGAGUUGUCUUUCUGGAACAAUAAUCCUUAUUAUUAAACCCUUUUGAAUUCCUCCUAUUGCUGCAGUCGCAGUGCUCUUUUUGGAAAUGGAGCUGUCGGCCUUAAUUGACUUUUGACUAGCACCCACAUUGGCUGUAGCUUAAAUAGGGUUAGAGAGCCCAGCUGUGCAGAAUUCAUUUCCAGUGUUAGACCUGAAAUUCUCACGGACUGUGCAGCUAGCCGGGCUGCCUUUUAUCCUGUCUGAAACAAAUUUAUUUUCACUUUAUACACACUCUUGAUGGAAGAAUCACUGUUUGGAAUUUACUUUUUUUCUGCCCAUGCCUGAUAUUAGGGUGACAUUUAAAGAAGAUCCAGGGUCUGUUUCCUUUUAUCUAAACAUGUUUCUCAGAUGUCUAAAAAUAAGCAUCAAGUUAAGCUAUAACCGAAUUUAAAUGGUGUAUUUGCCAGUAUUGCUUUGGGGAAUUUCCCAAACUGUCAAAAAUAAAAUAUUCCACUUGACCCCAAAUAUAAACCUUUUCAAACUCCUCAUUUUCAGUAAGAUUAUAACUUUAAGUUUUCAGGGCCUCUUUUUUCAUUUUAAAAUUGUCUGAGGAAUAAAUGAUAAGUGUGUAUGUAGUGUGUGGUUUGAGGCCACUUUUUAAUACAUAUUUAUGAGGAUUUGGGGAUGAGUUUGGUCAUAUUUCCGUGGUGCAUAUUAAGGCCUUGCCUGGUACUUCAGAGUAUGCACGUGAUAUUGAUCUGCAGCCAGUACAGAGUCAAGCUGCAUUAAAGUAUUGAUUGAUAAUAUUUUUAAAAGUCAAUACUGAAUUAUCUAAGAUGAAAUAUGUAUUUGUGGCAAUUGACCUAAUUCUAAGAGGAAAAUGUUCUUUUGAUUUGUACAGAAUCUGCCUUUGCCAAGAUGAAAUGGGCAGACGACGAGGUGAUACCAUUUUGGGGUUUCCUCUUCAAACCUUCCCUUUCACAACAUGUUUUGCCUUAAAUUCGAAAUGAUUUAGUUGAGAAAACACAUUGUAUUAAGUUUGUACAAAUGUAUACAUUCUUGUUUUUCAAAGUGAACUCUGUGGAGUACUAGCUCAAAGGCUGUUAGUAGAUAUUAUGUUAAAAAAACAAAAAGGUUCUAGCGAAAAAAAGUUCUACCAAAGUUGUACUAAAUUGCAAAAAAUACUGUGGGAGUUCUCAAAUGAUUUCACGUUAAUGUACUUCGUGACGCUGUAAAGAGAGGGCAUACUGUUUUCAUAGCUAAAGCUCUUUAUUACAAGCCACAGAAACCAACUGGAAUUAAGUUAAAGAGGCAGAGAGAGAGAGUUUAUUGUAAGGAUUCAGGGGUAUCUCAUGAAACAUGAAGGAGGGAAUGGAUCUGGGUCACAAGACUGUCCUAGAAAACCCUCAUGAUCCUCUCCCCUUGCCCUUAUUUCUGCAGUGCGUCUGCUCAGUUUCUUCCCUUUAUUCAUAGUUGGCAUUCUGUGGUGAUUCUCCUGGGAAGUCCGUCUGCUCUUGAUAAUGAUGUCAUUGGUUAGUCUUUCACUAACUGGGUUCAGUGCUGGGUAGUCAGACAGCACGUUAUAGACAUGAGAUGACCAGUGUAGGUUGUAUUGAAGAGUUUUUGUUUGUCAUAAUCUCAAAUAUUUAAGGUUGAUAAAUAGCUUUUACUAAUUUCAGUAUAUUUAGGAUAGUGCAUAAUUUACAACAGUUUUACUUCUGUUAAACCCCCCUCUGUUAAAAGAUUAUUUAAAGAAAAACCUAUAUUAACUUGUAGAUGUCCUAAUAGUUAGUGAUCUAGAUCAAACAUGGUACAGUCUAGGUUAAUAUCCCACUGAUAGACUGAAUUGUAAGUAUGAAGAAGAAGUUGAAUAAACUUUUCUUGUCAUAACCCAUGGUAAAUGCACUUAUACUGUAAUGAUCUAGGACAUAGAGUUAGUCUUUUACAUAUGAAGAAGUGAUAAAUGCUGAGUUUAACUGUUCUUGCUUGAAAUAUAGCUCUUCACAUCUGCUUUUGCUUUACUAUGAAGAACAUCCUAACUCCUCUUUGUCAAAAUUCUAUAAAGUUCCAUUUAUUCAGAAUCCACGAGCUUAAAUAAUAUAUUUUCUUUCUGCAGCAAUGCAUACAGAGAAUUGCUGUUCUAAAUAAUGCCCUCAAGGCAUGGCAAGAAUUGGCUUCUGAAUCUCCAGAGAAAGAUUACAUUAUGUUUGGUACAGCAUCAGCAUUAGAGUAUUUUAUUCUUAUUCGUAGAACAUUGGUACAAUAUUUAACUGUGUGUUCAUACCCACAAACCAUACUGGCUUACACACUUGUGAAAGACCCUGAAGGGUUUUUCAUGUUUCCAGAAAUAGAUGUAGUGUUUAUUUAGUGCAUUUAUGUCUUUGUAUUCAUAUUUUGGUGAAAUUUGGAAGAAGUAUAGGGGCAGGAGGUGGUGAGGAGACAACCUGAAAAGAGUCUUGGAAUCCCUAGAUUGUCAGGUUCAGUGGAGUUGCAAGAGGAAAGGAGAAUUUUGGAGGCUGACAGUUAAUGAAAGAGGUCUAAUAGCGAUGCCACAGCAGGGAGUUCCCCGAAGGUACAAAUGUGUUGACAUCUUCAUUCCCUAUUGUUAUGAAUGCAAGGUGAGUAGGAAAGGACAAUAAUCUGGCACUGGCUACUAAGUUUUUAGUCUGAGUCCAGGCUAAUUAAUUAUGAAUUUUUGGAUGUAUCACUUAGUCAGCCCAAGCCUCAGAUUCUAAUGGUAUAAAGAUGGAAUUGGACUUGAUGUCUUACAGCAUUAAAUUUUAGAUCAUUUCUGUGGAAAUUUUAGAUGAAGAGAAGCUAUAUUUAUGUCAACUCUCCUUCCUGUAUACUGUUAUUUAUUCAGCAAAUAUUUUUUGAGAACCUGUUACGUGGACCAUCACCCAUCCAUCAGAUUGCCAUACUGUGGCAGCAUGUGUGUAUGCUGGAAGCUGUGUCACCAGUAUUUCAAAUACUAGCAGGGUCACGCAUGGUGGGCAGGUUUCAGCAGAGCUUCCAGACUAAGACAGACUAGGAGGAAAGAGGCCAUCUACUUUAGAAAAUUGGUUAAUAGAAACCUGAUGGAUCACAACAGAACAUUGUCUGACUUGCUUGAUUUGGACAUAUCAUUUGAAAAAAAAACAAAAAAAUCCAACCAAACCUAUUGCCAUCCAGUAGAUUCUGACUCAUAGUGACCCUAUAGGACAGAGCAGAACUGCCCCCUAGGUAGGUUUUCCAAGACUGUAAUCUUAGGGUAGCGGACUGCCACAUCUUUUUCCCACGGAGUGGCUAGUAGAUUGAACUGCCGGCUGAACCAACCUUUGGGUUAGCAGUGAAGCACUUAACCAUUCCGCCACCAGGGCUCCUUGGACUCGUCAUUAGGAGGGUCAGUUGCUGAAGGAGGACAUCAUGUUUAGUGAAGUAAAGAAGAUGGCCAGCAACGGCAAAGGAGAACCUCAGUGAGAUGGAUUGGCACAGUAGCUACAAUGACAGAUUCAAACAUGUUGGCAAUCAUGAGUUUGACACAGGACCAGGCAAUGUUUCAUUCUCUCGUACAUGAGGUCGCCCUGAGUCAGAGUUGACUGAAUGGCAGCUGUCUAUCUGUGAUGCGGAGGUGCUGGAUAUUCUAGUGCUAAGGGCAUAGGACCGCUCAUCCUCUCUUGGAGCUUAUGUUCUCUUGGGAAGGGAUGCAUAGCUCACACACCUUUAGAAACGUGUCUGUAUAUGUAAUAUGUCAGGGUGAGGUAAAUACUUUGAAGAAAAUGAAGACAAGGUUAGGGAUAUAAAUGGAGGAGGAGCAAUUUUAGAUAAAGUAGUCAGGGCUGUCCUAUCAUGAAGUGACACUUGAGAAGAGAUUUGAUUGAAGUGAGCUCGUGCUAGUCCUAUACCUGGAAGGAGAGUGACCAGGCAGAGGGGAGAAGAAGUGCAAAGACCGCCAAGUGCAAGCAUGUUGGGGAAGGCCAUGAAUAUCCUUAGUUACUAAAUUCAGGACAAUUAAAAUACCAAUUGUAUCUCAUUUAGGUUUGUUCAAGUUUUGACAGUGAGGGAAAGAGGGUAAGUGUGGACAAGCCUGAGGAAGGAGUGUGCAGUAGGGAGCCAUGGUUGUGCCUGACUCUUCAAGGACGCUUGUGCAUUACAUGGUCCCUGGACGGUGCAAAUGGUUAACACACUUGGCUGCUAACCAAAAGAUUAGAAGUCAAGUCUGCAUGGAGGCACCUUGAAAGAAAGACCUGGUGAUCUGCUUAGGAAAGGCCACAGACUUGAAAACUCUGUGGGAUACAGUUCUACUCAGACACAUGUGGAGUUGCCGUGAGUUGGAAUUGACUUGAUGGCAACUUAUUUUUGGACAUCACCAAGGAUCUGGCAUGUCUGUCUGUGAUGUUUUAAGACAUAUAUGAACAUGUUCUUAAAGACAUCAUAAUGGCUGUGUACUCACAACACAAUCCUAUAGAUCAGCCACAUCUUCUAGCUGGUGCAUUCCAUGCCCUGCUAGUAUCAUUUUCUCUUUAAUUUCCUGUCCCUUAGCACCAGUGAAUUUCUUACAGCAUUUUUCCUCAUUUACUUUUCUGCCUGCUUUUGGUAUAUCUUCUUUAGAAGUUAGUUUCCAAUUUUUAAGUUGAAUACAAUUUAUUCCCUCUUGCUUGAUGUUAUUUUUGAUGGCCCCUUGGCAGCCUAACGUCAUUGCUAACCUCUCCGCUCCUCAGGAUCACGUUUUCCAGCAAACACACCAUGAGCACUUAUUUAAAUGCCUAAUCAUUGGCAGAAAUGCAGCUGUGUUCAUCAUUGUCAGUUCUGAUUUGUAUGAUGUUCUCAUCCAAACAUACCUCAGGGUACAUUUGCACAUCUAAUUACAACAUUAAAACUAAUAAUAGCCCGAUAAAAUACUACUCAGACAAAUGUCUAAGCAAACAGCUGGCUGUUUCAUUGUGUCCUGAAGGACAGGCAGAUUCAGACUUUGUUCCCUAACUCGAGGGCCUGAAUUCCAAACCGCAAACCCUCCUCUAUGAACACCCUGCUGAUGGGAGGCUUAGCUAGGCAGGAAGUAUCUAAUUCAAAGGCAUGUCCUUAGAUGAAAGAGCCACCAUGAAACCAGACCUUUAUGGAACUGCAUUGAAGGGAAAAGUGGUUUUCUUUCACUUCACUUGGAGGUAGACUGAGAAUAAAUUCUGCCUGAACCAAAAUGCAACAGAAUACUGGUGCAAGGUGUUAUGAACGUGCCAACUUUUCUACAGAACCCAGAAAGUUAAUAUCUAGAACUUCUGAGGGAAGAAGGCUGAGGAAUAAUUUAAUAACACUUUUCAGAUAUUUGCAGGAGUCAUGUUGUUAUCAUAUAGAAAACAGUGGUAGGCUUUAUUUGCCACAAGUGAUUGAGUUUAUGCCUUUGUUGAGAGAGAAGAAAUUUGGUAAAAUUGGCUUUAUCUUACUGGCACAGUAGGCCCUCCUAUUAUCCAAACCAGUGAAGGUGGAGUAUUUAGGAAAUAGAAACUAAUCAUACUUCCCCUGCUGAGAUUCUGCACAUGGAGCAGGACUGAUCCUAACCUAGUUAGGAAAUAGAGAAUUUUUUCUCCAGGGUGAUAUGCUCCCUCCAGCAGGUUCCAUUUGCCCAGGUGAGUUGGUUUUUGAAACAUAGACUAAAAUUGUAGAUAAUGUUAGAAAACUUUUGGAUUAUAAGAGUUGUCACUUAAUGUGUUCUUGAGGGAGGCUUUACAAUCUUUUCUUUAAAGCUUUUAAAUAAUAAUUUAAAAUUUUAUCAGCCUCUAUAGAUUUUUUUUUUAUAUAGAUUAGGCAUAAUACUACUGAAGGGUAAAAAUAGAUUAAAAUAAACCCCCAAGUUGCUUCUUGCCUUCUGAUUCUUUCAGAUGCAACAGACAUUUAAAAUCACAGGAAUACUGUGCUUGAUAUUUUCACAUACAUUAAAAUUCCUUUAAGAUAAUUCUCACAAAAACGUGCAAAGCAGAUAUCAUUUACCAGUGGUCAAAGAGGUGAACAAGUUACUUACUGCAAGUUGCGCAGCUUGGAAGGGAUGGGAGAGAGGGCUUGGAACCAGGUCUCAGAAACUUGAAUGCAGGCUUGUUGUUGUUAUUGCUGUCAAGUUCGCCUCGACUUCCACGGUGACCCUGUGUACAACAAACAGACAUUGCCGGUCCUGAGCCAUCUCCAUGAUCCAAAGAGUUUUCACUGGCUGCUUUUUGGAAGUAGAUCACCACGCCUGUCUUAACCAUCAAUAGCUACCCGUUGCCCGUAACCACCAAUAGCUAGGUGCCAUCAAUUCGAUUCUGAGGUAUGACAGCUCUAUGUAUUUCAGAGUAGAACUGCGUUCCCUAAGGUUUUCCAGGCUGUGACCUUUUGGAGGCUGAUCACUCGGCCCUUCUUUUGAGGCAGCUCUGGGUGGGUUGGAAUUGCCAGCUUUUCAGCUGUAGCCAAGGGCUUAACUGUUGGCACCACCCAGAGAGCCAGGCCUUUUUUAGACUUCGAUUAAUAAGCUCCGAAAUCUCAGGUGGAUCUCUGACCCUCUCUAGACCCCAGUUUCCUUGUAAAGUGGAGAGGUUGGAAUGAGAAGAUUGGAAUAAGUUUACCUCUCACUUUGGUAAUGUUAUGAUCCGGGGGAAACAUGAGAGUGGUCAGUAGUUAAUGAACACAGCCACAUUUUUGUGUAAACUGUGACCGUGUACUAUGUAGGAUGUAUAAACCAAAACCGAACCUGUUGCUGUCAAGUCGGUUCCGACUCAUAGUGACCCUAUAGGACAAAGUAGAACUGGCCCAUUGUGUUUUCAGGGAAUGGCUGAUGGAUUCGAACUGCUGACCUUUUUGGUUAGCAGCUGUAGUUUGCUGUAGAUCUUAACUCUGUGCCACCAGGGCCCUUGUGGGAUGUAUAGAUGGAUAUUAUUCUUGGGCUGGGAAUUUUGGAUGUGGAAGGCAGGUGUAAAAAUUAACAAUUCUAUAUGAUCUAAUGACCAGAGCUAGUAAAGUAGAAGAAUCAUGUUACAGCCAUUUUUUUGAUUUUCCUUAUUUUUUUUCACGUCUACUUUCCUAUCCCAGAUCCCCUCUCAUGCAUUUCCUUUGAAAUUUUCUGAGUUUAUAUCUGAUCCUAAAUUUUGCUAUAUUUAAUUAUAGCUGUGACUGGAAGGCAAGAAAAGAGAAGAUUCCUCUAUUCUUCCUGAAUAAAAAUGCGUCAUUGCCUGGAUCCUGUGACCUUUCAUUUAUCCACACCUGGAGUAAACCGUUGUGACCCAAGAUACCACCUGGUGGCAGGUGUAGGAAUUGCAAGUUAAAACCCUGACAAAUCUUAGAAAUUCAUACCCAGGGGGUGAUACUAAAGAGUCCUAGAAAGUGAAGACAGGGAGGCGACGAGAGAUGAGAGGAAAACCCUAUCUCUGAUAACUGGACAUGAGAGUUGAGAAAUAGCUGUGGCAUGUUGAUCCCCAGCCCUGGUUGGAAGAUCCUGGUGGUGACAGCAGAAAGGGAAGCAGGUGAGCAAUUCCUAAUACCCUCAGGUAAAAGGAAGGAAGGAAAAGGAAAAGGGAAGAAAAGAAAGGAAAGGAAUGGAAAAGGAGAGAAAAGGUGAGAAAGGAAAGUAGCCUUGGGUCCCUAGGGAGACUCCCUACUCCUGUGUCUGAUCUUAGGCUCUUACUCUCUCUGCCUUGGUGUGCCGGAGCCUAGGGCAUUGGUAUCCACCGCGACUGGUGUGAGGCUGGCAGUUAGAUGAGAGAGGAAUUUUUGGAUUCCACUUCCUUAGAUUAAUUAUCCUAGAUUGAGCUAUAGCUUCAGUGCCAUUCCAUUCAAAAUCCCAGCAGCCUUUUUUUUUUUUUUUGUAAUAUAUUGACAAAUUUAUAUGGAGAUGCAAAGGGCUUAGACUAGUCAAAACAACUUGGGGACAAAAAUAAAAAAAAGAGGACUCACAUUACCUGAUUUCAGUAUUUAUUAUAAAGUUGUAAUAAUCAAGGCAGCGUGGUGUUGGUAUCAAGAUAGACCUAUAAAUCAAAGUUCAUAUCAGUUUUUUUCAUAUUAGCCAAAAGUUGCAAACAGCCCAGAUGUCUACCAACAGGCAAAUGGAUGAAUGUUGUUGAUGUUAGGUGCUGUUGAGCUGGUUCUCGCCUCGUAACCACCCUAUAGGACAGAGUAGAACUGCCCCAUAGAGUUUCCAAGGAGUGGUUGGUGGAUUUGAACUGCCGACCUUUUGGUUAGCAGCCGUAGCUCUUAACUGCUAUGGCACCUUAUGAAUCUUGAGGUAAUUAUGCUGAGCAAAAGAAACCAGACACACCCCCAUCCCAAAACAAGAGUGCAUGCUGUAUGAUCUCAUUUGUAUAAGAUUCUGGGAAAUGUAAACUAAUGUGUAGUAUAGGAAGCAGAUCAGAAUGGAAAGGGAAUGAAGAUUGGAAAUGGCAAGAGGAAGGGACUAACAAAAAGUCAUGAAACUUCACAAUGAUGUAUUUGUUCAUUAUCUUGAUUGUGGUGAUGAUUUCUUGAGUAUGUACAUAUGUCAAAGACACCCUGGUGGGGCGUGGUUAAGCACUCAGCUGGUAACCAAAAGGUCUGCUCUUUGAACCCGCCACCUGCUCUGCAGGUAAAAGAUGUGGCAGUUUGCUUCUGUAAAGAUUGGAAACUCUGUGGAGCAACUAUUCUGUGUUGGAAUCAAGUCGAUGCUAAUGGUAUACCUAUGUCAAAACUUAUCAGAUUAUACACUUUAAAUAUGUGCAAUUUAUUGUGUGUUAAUUAUGCCUCAAUAAAGUUGUUAAAAGAAAACUAUAUUCUUUAACCCAAACUAAACCUGUAGCCAUAGAGUUGAUCCCAGCUCAUGGCAGCCCCAUGUGUUACAGAGUAGAACUGCUUCAUAGGGUUUUCUUGGUUGCAAUCUUUACAGAAGCAGAUGGUUAGGCCUUUCUUCCGUGACACUGCUGAUUGAGUUCGAACUUCCAGCCUUUAGAUUAGUUGCUGAGAAUAACCAUUUGCACCAUUCAGGGACCUUAAGUUCAACCCCUACACAUAGAUUUAUCCUUGGCUGAUUGGUUUAAAUUGUGCUUUUCUUAAGUGUUUGUUUUUAGGUUAACACUUUCUGGGUUUACGUUAACACUUCGUUGGUGUUACUGAGAUUUAGAAGUUUUUGGACUUUAAAUAUUAUUAUGCACACACUUAAAAUGACACAAACAUUGAAGGGCCAGAAUUUCAUGAAACAGAGAAAUUGUGAAAUAAAGCAAGAUAAAUUAUUUGUUACAUUGAAGCUGUCUAUAUAGGACAGUAUAGAAAGUGCAGUGUAAUGCAAAAAAAGAAGUGGCAUGGAAGACCUGACCUCUAGAGGAAUUUACAUUUUAGUUGUGAAAAUGAGAUUUAUGUACAUAAUCAACAAACUAAGAAUUAAAGGAAGGCGUUAACUGAGAUCAAGAGUACGGUAGUUGACAUUUGUUUCCUACAGGACUUAACUUUCUGAGGUGUUGAUCAAGAGUUUCACAUUUCUUCAGCAGGAAAUAAUGGCAUUUUCAAUGUUUCAGAUCUUUACAAUACACUUUUAAAUCUAUGUAUUCAUCCUGAACCACCUACUGGUCUUUUAGUAAUUACAUUUAAUGAGGGAAUUUAAUUCUAUAUUUAAUCUCCUUUUUAACAUAUUUACCCAAGACCUGAUGUGAAAAUUGCUAAUGGUGUUUUUGAUCUAGUCACCCUGCCUUGAAAUUAUAGCAGUAACAUUCAGUAAUAUUAGCAUUUUUUGUCGAUGUUACCUCUCUGGCUGUGAAGAUUUUCUAUUGAUGAUUCCUGUGAAGCUUGGAAACUGAACAUACUUUCUGGAGAACCACUUAUCUUUUCUGCUGCUCUUAUUUUGAGUGACUUUACAGUGACCAUUUUCAUGAUGUAUAUCUUUAACAUAUUUCCCUUUCUUCCUUUGUAUUUCAUCCUUUUUAUUACAGCUCCGUGUAAUCAAAGCCAGACUAGGUGCCAACACGCCACGUGCCUAUCGCUCCCAGGCGAGCUGGCUGAGAAGGAAACGCCUGUAUUUAUGUCUUGUCAUCACUUAGGGCCUCCUGAGGUGCUGACUGUGGUUGCUUGCAUUGUGCCACUGCUAAGAAGGUUCUUGGACUGCAUGCUUCUUCCGUGGAUAGGUAUAGAUGUAUGUGUGCCAGCUGUGGGCAAAAUUGUGAAGUAGGAAGUUUACCAUUCAUGCCUGAGCCAUCAUUUUUUAAAUUGUUUCUCUCCCUACCUUAGGGCUCUUAUUCAGCUUCACAGAGCUUUUGUGUUCUGUUCUUAUUAAAACUCACUCUUAGAAAAGAACACAAAACUGUUACUAGUCCCACUUAAUGUAAAUUUCAUGACGUCCCAGGGUGGUGCCAACGGCUUGUACCUGAGUGCAAACCUAAAGGUUGGCAGUUUGAGCCCACCCAGCAGCACUACGGAAGAAAAAUGGCAAUCUGUUUAUGUAAAGAUUACAGCCGUGAACACCCUAUGGAACAGUUCUAGUCUGUAAUACGUGGGUUGCCAUGAGUUGGAAUCGGCUCUGAAUGUGGUGUGAAACGCUUUUCUCGCCUUAAAUGGAGUGUAGGCUUUGGGGAACAAGUGGAGGGGGAGUGGUUUUGGGGCAGGAGCCGCUUGCUUAGUGCAUCUGAAAUCAUUCUGUGGGUCGAUUGUUUUCCAAAUGUUUUUAGUCACAUAUUCCUUUUUGUUGAAGCCUAGUAUAUAAAAAUGGUUUUAAAAAAUGGAGGCCUUUGGAAGAGACAGGAAUGGAAGAUUCAGAGGCACACUCACGCAUCCUUCCCAAGGACUGCCCCAAGGCCUCUCUGUGAACCUCCUGGGGUUCCUCAGACCACAGUUUGAAAACCAAUUUGUACAUCUGGCUUCCACUUGAUAUGCAGGUAGAAAGAGCAUGGCUUCCACCCUGAAAACAAGAAAUAGUCUACAAAAUCAUAACUAUCCUUGAACCCAUCAGAGAGCGCAGGUUGCAGGGCAGCCAACCUGCCUGAAAUCCAAGGGAGAGCAGGCACCUCCAAGGAGAGAUUGAACUUAAGCCUUGGCUUAUCUGUUGCAGAACUUGAAAGGAAGGCAGGUCUGCCAUACAAGCAGGCAAAAUGAAUUCAGCUAAAACUGGUAAUGAAUUGCUAAUGGCUGAUCAUGGACUGGCAUGGGGGUAUAGAACUCAUGAGAGUGGCAGGCACAAGGAGAAUGUGCACAGACUUCUCCAUAGACCUUACUGUGUGCUCACAAGAAAGACUGGGGGCAGGGCGGGGCCUGAGAAAGUCUCCCUUGGUGAUACACUCCUGGAGGAGGGGACGAAACUGUCUUGGGCCCAGACCUUUAGAGGCCUCCUACCACUGAAUGAGGGGCAGAAUCACUGAGAAAGGCCACCCCUGAGACAUAAGGAUAUGGGGUCUGGGGCUGGGCCAGCAUAACAGAGAACAUCCCCCUCACCUUCCACCGUACCUCAGACAAGCUCAGUGUUUCAGGUAUCUAUUGCAGUGUAACAAAUAACAUCAGAAUGUAGUAGCUUAAGACAUAAGCAGUUUAUUCUCUCUCUUAAUUCUAUAACCUGGGCAGAGCUCAUCUGGGCAGUUCCUCAGCUCCACCUGAUGUCUCCUAGGGCUGAAAUGGUCAUGAUGGCCUCUUCAUCUUACAGGGGAUGACUGGUAGAAAUGCAGAUGGUUUUAAUAUGCUUACCCCCCUCCCCCCAACCUCUGUCUUGCUAAGGAGGUUGCUCUUCCUAAGAGCCAAAGAAGAAGCUGCCAGGCUUCUUAAAGACCAGACCAGAAACUGGAACCAUGUCACUUGUAGUGCAUUGUGUUGGUCAAGGUAAGUCACAGAUUCAAGGGAACAAGACUCCAUUUCUUGAUGGGUGGACCAGUGUGUACAUAUAGGGAGGAAAGAUUUGAUGAUGGCUAACUUCUUAUUUUUUUAACUUCAUAGAUUAUCUACUGUACUUAAUUUGCCAUUUUUUUUUCCCUCCCUGUCUUUGGCUUUCUUGAGCCCCUCUAUUACUGUUCUCUCCCAGAAUCUCUACCCAUUAAAAUAUGCCCAUCCUUUAAGGCCCAACUUAAAUGCUGCCACCUCCACCAUAUAAUUUAUUUCCCAAAUUGGGAUAAUUUGAGAGUGUAAGGGGCCACUAAAAGGACAAUGGGUAUAAAUUGGGACUGUUCCCGGCAAACUGGACGUAUGAUGACUCUAAUCGUGAACUUUUCCCUGAUUUUCCGUUCAUGGAUGAUCUUUCCCUUCUCCGGAUAUCUUGGUUGGGACACAUUAUGUUACUCCUUGUAUUUUGGAUACAAAUGGCGAGGAAUCGAUUCCAACUCAUCGCGACCCUGUAGGACAGAGUAGAACUGCCCCAUAGAGUUUCCAAGGAGCGCCUGGUGGAUUCGAACUGCUGACCCUCUGGUUAGCAGCUGUAGCACUUAACCACUACAUCACCAGGGUUUCCGUAAUACCUGUCUAAGUGCUCUUAAAUUGUAAAUCCCUAGAAAGCAGAUUCACUGUCUUUAUUUGCAUUUCUCAGAGCAUUUGGCAUAGUGCUAUCUAUGUGGUAAGCUCUCAAUUGUGAAUUGAAGACAACGUAAAGGACAGAAAGAUACCACACUAAUGUUCUUAGGUCAUUAAUACGUCCUAUAGAAUCAAAUUAUUCACCAGCAGGUCUAAGUUCUAGUAAUCUUACUUUCUUUACUAAAGUUCAUAUGACCUUGGUCAAAUGAUUUAAUAUGUAGGCGUCUAAGCUUCUUCAUUUAAAAAAUGAAAGAAAUUAUACCUAUACUACAUAUUUUAUAGGGAUAUGGUAAAGGCAAAAUAGUGUGUGCAAAAGCACUUUGAGAUAUUUUAUGUAAAAGUGGCUCUACAGAUAAAGACAAUAUCAUUAAAAUUAGCUUAUUUGUUUCCAAAAAGGAAUCAAUUGAGUAGUCCAGAUAACCUCUUCCUUUAUUGUUAAGCUGUUUUUUUUUCCAGUGGAGUUUAGAUUUUAAUUUCUUUUUUCCAAAUUCCUUAACUCUGGUUAAGAUAAGAUGGAAGGAACAAUAGGUCAGGAAUAGUAAGAUUUAAGUCUCCUUUCAUGCAUUUCACCUAGUGCUGAGAUGUAAGCAAGCCACUUCGCUUUUUCGAGUCGGUUUCCAUAUCUAUAAAGUGAAAAUGAUACCUACUCUGUCCAAGAGGAUAUGUGAGGGUCAAGUUAAAUGCAUGUGAAAUAUUUUUGAAAUAAAUAUAUAGUGGGCUAAGUGGAGGCCCCCUCAAAAGAUACAUGCACAUCCUAAUCCUCAGAACCUGAAAAAGUCAGCUUGUUUAGAAAAAGGGUUUAAGUUAAAGACCUUGAGAUGAGGAGAUCAUCUUGGAUUAUCUAGAUGUAGCUCUGAAUCCAUUGACAAGUGUCAGAAGAGGAGCAGGCUGUGUGAUCACAAAGGCAGAUACUGGAGUGAUGCAACGACAAGCCCACAAGUGCCAGCAGCCAUCAGCUGCUGGAAGAGGCAAAGAAUGGAUUCUCUUCUAGAGCUUCCUGAGGGAGUGUGGAUCUGUUGACACUUUGGUUUUGGAUAUCUGGACUCCAGAAUUAUGAGAGAAUAAAUUUCUGUUGUUUUAAGCCACUGAGUCCAUGGUCAUUUGUUACGGGAGCCCCAGGAAACUAAUACACCACCCGAGCUCACGCAACUGCACAGACACUUUCCUACAUUUUUUCUGCCUCUCUCAGAGUUCUGAAGGUAUUCCAUAAAUAAAUAAAUUUCUGUUGUUUUUAGCUACCGAAUUUGUGGUGAUUUGUUGGGGCAGUAUAGAAAACUAAUACAAAAGGGUAAUGAUAUUAGCGAGUAUUUUAGAACACCCAUUUGUUCUGUGGCUUCCUAACUGAUGUUUGGUAUCUCUUCCUGUUUAUCUUUGUAUGUGUUUGUGUGUCACGUGAGUAUAUUUGGCAUUAUUAGAUAUUUGGAAUUUCUGGGUGUCAUAAUGCUUUAAUUUCUCAUAUGUUUGGACUGUCUUCUAUCUUCUUCAGAGAAAGGAACCAUUUUACCUUAAUUUUUUACUUAUAUAUAAACACGAACUAUGAAACAAAGUGUUUCCCCUUCCCUUUUGAAGUAUCAUGUGCAUUUUAAACAAGUAUAUAGACAAUAAAAUAUUGUUGUGUUGUUGUGUGCUGUUGAGUCAGUUCUGACUCAAAAAGACCCUAUAUGACAGAGUAAAACUGCCCCAUAGGGUUUCCUAGGCUGUAAUCUUUGCAGGAGCAGAUCGCCAGGUCUUUUCUUCUGUGGAUCUGCUGAUGGGUUUGAACCGCUGACCUUUUGGUUAGCAGCUGAGCACUUAACCAUUGCACCACCAGGACUCCUUCAACAAAAACUACUGCAGUAAAAGUGACAUGAAGAAUCUUAAUACCUCCUCAUAACCCAGAGUUACGUGGUUUCAGGAUUCAGUAAGAUGCUAUUGUGCAUUUAAAUCCUUGCCCCAGAUACCUGAGAGUUCUGUAGAAGCAGAUGGCGGCAGCGAUGGUGCUGGUGGUGGGGCCAGUGGUAAACCAUAGCUUGAACCUCCUGGUAACUGGGACUCAUUGACGGUAAUCCUCAGACCAUUUCUAUCAUGCUUAUUCUAAUGCAACUGUUGUUGCCCCUCAUGUGGGUAUAAUAUUGUCUCUGAGGCCCGGCAGCAUUCUCUGAUUUUAUGCCAACUGUUCUGUAGCCAGCUGCUGAGAAUUCUCCGUAACGACAUGUCAUGUAUCCUUCCUCCUGUAGAAAUUGAAGGCAAAUUGCUCUCUUGUCUUCACAACAUGGAUUGUUUGCACUCGGCAUCCAUCUGAGGGUUAUUUGUUUCCUUCCUUGCAUGGCUGUGGGUCCUUGAUGCUGUAGUCAAGCCAUGCAUUCUCCCUCCCUCCCCACUCUCUCAGUUUCAGGCGCCCAGUGUGGAAUUCCUGUCAAAAGUCUUUUUAGAGUGCUUCUUGAAAGCUCUGAGGACUUCCUGAAUUACAAGGAUUCGCCAAGUCCAACUUGCAGUGAUGAUGCCAGUCUGUCUGCUGUAAGCAGGAUUUAUUUUAGGGCAUCCCCAAAGCUUUUUGUUUUGUUCUGCUCAGAGUCAAGAGAACCCCUCUUGGGGGCAGUGAAAUAUGCCCUGGCACAUUUCUCCUGAGCCCAUGUUUAUGUUUCAGCAAAAAGGUGCCCCCUAAGCUUGCUACAAAUUUAUCUAGCAAAGAUUGUAAUUUCUCAAGUCCCUUGUAAAGUCACUAUGGUUGAGGUGACCUCUGGGAUAAUGUGCGUCUUAAAGUACUGCAGAAUAUCAGCUUACACAUUCUUUGAUCAGCAUAGAACUCUGCUUACACAAAAUUACUGGUGUGUUUGUGUGCAUUCCUUCCUCACUUUUUUCUCUCCUGAAUAAUAGGACCUGUGCCCUUGCAAGAGUCAUAGGAACUGAGAAGGCGCUAUUUUAGUUAUGUAGUAGAGAUUCUUUCUUUUAUUCUUUUGUUCAUGGCUCUUACUGAAUUAGUCACUGGGAGAGGUGAGUUUUUGUUUUAUCAUUUAUUUACUUAUUUAUUUUACACUUAGAAUUUUUAAUCAUCACAGAACAUAGUCUUUUUUAGAAUAUAUUAAAUACUUCUCAACUUUUUAAGGAAACUUGGUGGCACAGUGGUUAAGAGCUAUGGCUUCUAACCAAAAGGUCAGCAGUUUGAAUCCACCAGCCCUCCUUGAAAACCCUAUGGGGCAGUUCUACUCUGUCUUAUAGGGUCAUUAUGAGACAGAAUCAACUCAGCAGCUAUGGGUUUGGUUUGGUUUAUCCUGAAAUAGAAUGCUGUCAGCGAUAGAAUAAUAUCUUUAUGUGUAUGGGAAAGACCAGUUAAUAUGAUUAUUAUUCAAAUUUACACACCAACCAAUAAUGCCAAAGAUGAAGAAAUUGAAGACUUUUACCAACUUCUGCAGCCUAAAAUUGAUCAAACAUGCAAUCAAGAUGCAUUGGAAAUUAUUGGAAUGUGCAAGUUGGAAACAAAGAACGGUCAGUAGUUGGAAAAUAUGACCUUGUUGAUACUAACAACACAGGAGAUUGCAUGGUAGAAUUUUGCAAGACUGGUGACUUAUUCAUUGGAAAUACCUUUUUUCAACAACAUAAGCAAGGACUGUGCGUGUGGACCUUGCUGGAUGGAGUACCCAGGGAUCAAGUUUGCUACAUUUGUGGAAUGAGACAAUGGAGAAGCUUAAUAUCAUCAGUCAGAACAAGGCCAGGGGCCGACUGUGCAACAGACCAUCAAGAGCUCAUAUGCAAGUUCAGGUUGAAACUGAAGAAAAUUAAAACAAGUCCACGAGAGCCAAAGUAUGACCUUGAGUACAUCCCACCUGAACUGGAGACAAUCUCAAGAAUAGAUCUGACACAUUGAAAUUAAUGUCCAAAGACCAGAUGAGUUGUGGAAUGACAUCAAGGACACCAUACAUGAAGAAGGGAAAAGGUCAUUAAAAAGACAGCAAAGAAAGAAAAGACCAAAAUGGAUGUCAGAAGGGACUCUGAAACUUGCUCUUGAAUGUAGAGUAGUAAAAACAAAAGGAAGAAAUGUUGAAGUAAAGGAGCUGAACAGAAAAUUUCAAAAGGUGGCUCGAGAAGACAGAGUAAAGUAUAAUGAAAUGUACAGAGACCUGGAGAUAGAAAACCAAAAGGGAAGAACAUGUUCAGCAUUUCUGAAGCUGAAAGAACUGAAAAAAAAUUCAAGCUUUGAGUUGCAAUAUUGAAGAAUUCUAUGGGGGAAAAUAUUGAACGACACAGUACGCAUCCAAGGAAGAUGGAAGGAAUACACAGUCACUGUACCAAAAAGAGUUGGUCGAUGUUUUAUCAUUUCAGGAGGCAGCAUAUGAUCAAGAACGAAUAGUACUGAAGAAAGGAGUCCAAGCUUUACUCAAGGUAUUGGUGAAAAACAAGGCUUCAGGAAUUGACAGAAUACCAAGUGAGAUGUUUCAACAAAUGGAUACAAUGCUGGAAGCACUCACUAGUCUAUGCCAAGAAAUUUGGAAGACAGCUGCCUAGCCAACUGACUGACAGAUCUAUAUCCAUUUCUGUUCCAAAGAAUGGUGAUCAGACAGAAUGUAGAAAUUAUGGAACAAUAUCAUUUACAUCACACAGAAGUAAAAUUAUGCUGAAGAUAAUUCAAAAGCAGUUUCAGCAGUCCACCAACAGGGGAACUUCCGGAAAUUUAAGCCAAAUUCAGAAAGGGACAUGAAACGAGGAAUAUCAUUGCUUGUGUCAGAUGGAUCUUGGCUGAAAGCAGAGAACACCGGAAGGAUGUUUACCUGUAUUUUAUUGACUAUGCAAAGGCAUUCAACUGUGUGGAUCAUAAAUUAUGGAUAACAUUGUGAAGAAUGGGAAUUCUCGAACACUUUACUGUUCUCAUGCAAAAACUGUACAUAGACCAAAAGCCAGUGUUUGAACAGAACAAGGGAAUACUGCAUGGUUUAAAAUCAGAAAAGGUGUGCGUCAGGAUUGUAUCCUUUCACUAUACUUACUCAACCUAUAUGCUGAGCAAAUAAUCCGAGAAGAUGCUAACCCUCAAAAAAGCAAUGAGCACCCAAAAGUUGGCAAUUCAGAUCUACCAGGUGCUCUUUGGAAACCCUAUGGGGCAGUCCUACUCUGUCCUAAGGGUUGCUAUGUCGGAAUCGACUUGCGGCAGCGGGUUUGAUUUUUAUAUUUUGGUGCUAAGUAUAUAGUCAUGUGUUAGGAAUUGCAGAUCUGUAGAUUGGAGGUUCUAGGUGUGAUGUUGGAAGAGGGGCUGGUGUGGCUGAGCAAGGCUGUUGAGUGUGUUAUAGGAGCAUAGGUACAGUUUUAUCUGUCUUCCCAGUUUCUCCCUUUAUCUUAACAUCUCUGAGUCUCAGCUUCCUCAUUUGUAAAAUAAGGAUAAUGCCAUUUAAACUUGAGGAGUUUUUUCAAGAAUUAAAUAAAUCUUGGCAUAUAAAACUCUUGUCACAAGAUUGGGACUCAGUAAAUACAUUAUUACCCUUAGCGGGCAGACCCUAAGUGAUGGCUUACCAUACCUUUUGCUGUCGAUUUGAUUGUGACUCAUGGUGACUCCAUAUGUUUCAAAGUAGAACUGUACUCCACAGAGUUUUCAGUGGCUGUGAAGCACAUUGCCAGGCCUUUCUUCCAAGGCAUCUCUGGGUGUAUUCAAACCGCUAACCUUUCAGUUGAUAGCUGAAAGCUUAACUGUUUGCACUACCCAAGAACUCCUAAGCGAUGAUAUAGAAUGUUAAAUUUGAAGGCAUAUGGGAAGUCUUCUAGUCCAACUUCCUAUUAAUGUAAAAAUCUUUCCUGGAGCACUUAUGAAAAACGGCCAUUCAAGUUCUUACUAAACAGCUCAGGGAUCCCACUGCCUCAAAAGGCAACCUGUAUGCAGCUCUAAAUCUUAAUGAUAACAAUGUAUAUUUUGUUUGUAGUUUACAAAAUGCUUUCACAUACAUUGUCUUAGCUAAUAUACAUAGUAAUUCUGUAGGGUUGGUAGAACUGUUAGAAAGCUUUUCCUCACAUUGAAUCCAUUUCUGCUGCCCUGUAACUUGCACUUAUUAAUCUAUAGAGCUAUAUAGAACAAGUCUAUAUAGCUUUUUUCAGAUAGCAUCCAUUCAACAAGUACUUACCGUGCAUCUACUAUCAUAUGUCAGGCAUUUGUCUAGGCAACAGAAGUACAGCAGAGUAAAACAGGAUUGUCCUUGCCUUAUUCGAACUCAUAGUCUAGUACAGAGGUUGGCAAAUUAUAGUUUUUAGUUCAAAUCCAGUCCACUAGUUGUUUGUGUAGAUAAAGUUUUAUUGGAACACAGCCCUACCCAUUCUUUUAUGUAUUUUCUAUGGCUGCUUUUGUGCUAUGACAGCAGAGUUGCAACAGAGAUCAUAUAGCCCUUAAAUACUAAGGUAUUUAGUGUUUGAUACUUUACAGAAAAAUUUUCUGACCCAUAGUCUGGUGGAUUAGGUCAAUAUUAAAUCCUUGAACACACCAAUACAUUUGUCAUGGCACAUUUUUGCAAUGUAGGGUGGUAUAAAAGAAAACAGGGUGAAUCUAACAUAGAUUGAGUAGCAGCAAGCCUUCCCUGAAUGUCUUAGUCUGGGUACUCUAGAGGAUCAGAACCAGUGGGGUGUGUGUGUGUGUGCGUGUGUGUAUGCAUAUGUGUGUGUGUAGAGAGAGAAAGAAAGAGAGAGGGUGAUUGAUUUAUUUCAAGGAAAUGGCUCAUGCAGUUGUUUGUGGAGGCUGAAAAGUCUCAAAUCCAUAGGUCAGGUGGUAGGCUGAAGACCUCUACUGGCUCACAGGAUUGUGGAGGCUGAUGAAUUCAAAAUCAGCAAGUCAGGUGGCAGGCAAGAGACUUUUUCAGGCUUAUGUCCUGGGAACUAUAGGUCAGGUGACUAGAAGUGCAGGGUGGUGAGAGAGAGCUUUGCCAGAACAUCCAUUUAUAUACUGGAGGCAGGGCAUACCCUCAAGGAAACUCCCCUUUCAACUGAUUGGCUAAUCACACCAGAUAACAUCAUGGAAAUUGAUUAUGUUAUAAUGCAUUAUGCAAGAGCAACCAUUCCUGUGCAUGCCAAACCGCUGAGAAUCAUAGCCUAGCCUAGUUGACACAAAACAUUAACCAUCACACUGAGAAAGUGACAUUUAUGCAGGGCUCUGAAGGGCAAAAAAAGGAGCCAGGAGAUUGCAAGGCUAUGAGGAGCAUAUUGGCAGAGGGAGAACAAAAAGAGCUUGGCAUAUUUGAAGAACUGAAAUAAGCUGGAACCCAGUGAAUAGAGAAGGAGAGUGGUAUGAGGUUGUGCUAGAAGGGCAGGCAUGAGCCAGAUAUGCAGGGCCUUCUAAAAUUGUUAUUCUUUUCCCAAGAUCAGUGGAAAGUUACUGAGGGAUUUUAAGUAGACUUGUAUUUUAAAAAACCAGUUACUUGGAGAUGGAAGCAAGUGGUUGGAUUAACUGGUGGACUGCUUGCUUUGAUGUGGGAGAAAGCGGGGCAAGGAAUCUAGGAUGACUUUCAGUUAUCUUGUUUAAACAGUUGGGUGAAUGGAGUUGCCAUUUGUAAGAUGGGGGACUCUUGAGGAGAAGCAGGCUUAGUGGGUGACGAUGAUGAUUUGAGUUUUGGACAUGUUCAGUUUGAGAUGCUAGUAAGAUAUCUAAGUAGAAAUGUUAAGUUCAGAGUACAGAUUUGGAGCUUAGAAGGAAAAUAUGAGUAAUAGAUAUAAUUUGGAAUUCAUCAGCAUUUACUAUUCUUUGAAGUCAUGAUGGUGGGUGAUAUUGCCUAGGGAGAUGAGCGCAGAGAGGAGAGGGCUAGGCCUAAGUCCUGAGGACUCCAGUGUUUAUGGUUUGGGUGGAGGAUGAGGGGGAACCAUCAAAGGAGACUGAGAUGGAGCAGCUAGAGGAGUAGGAAGAAACCUAGGAAAAUUGGGAUCUCUAUACUAACUGGAGAGAUUGUUUCAAGAAGGAGGGCUGGUUUAAUAUGCCCAAUGCUGCGGCUCAUAUAAGCUUAAGAUUGAGGAGACCGUUAGAUUAGAAAAAUGAAAGACAUUGAUAACCUUGGCAAGAUCAGAAUCAGUCGAGUGGUGAGGGCAGAAACCAGAUAGGGUAGGUCGAGAAAUACAUGGGUAGGAAGUGAGCAUAAACAGACAAAAUUUUUCAAGAUGUUGGCUGCAAAAGAUAGGAGAGAGAAGGCAGCAGGUAGAGAUGGAUAUCGAGAGUUUCAUUUAUUUUUAAGAUAGGUAAGCCUAGAUGGGGGAAAUCCUGGUGGUGUAGUGGUUAAGUGCUACAGCUGCUAACCAAAGGGUUGGCAGUUCAUAUCCUCCAGGCGCUCCUUGGAAACUCUGUGGGACAGUUCUACUCUGGCCUAUAGGGUCGCUGUGAGUCAGAAUCGACUCAACAGCACUGGGUUUGGGUUUUUUUUUUUGUUUUGUUUUAAGCCUAGAUGGGAAGGGAAGAGUAGGGUGGGAAAAGUAAAGAGACAGAAGGGUUAAAGGAUAAUAGAUGGAAUGAAGCCCCUGAGAACACUAGAGUGCAUGCAGUCUUCACUACAUAUGAAGGAAAUGGUUUUUGAUAGGAGGAAGGCCACUUUCUCCAUUUUAACAAGAAACAGAGGACAAGAUGGAUGCAGGUGCAGGUACAGGUAGGUUUGCCCAUGUGCUGGCAGAAAAUUGAGGGAAUGUCAUGGUGGCUUAUAUUUUUUUCUGUGAAAUAUGAAACAAGGUCACCUGCUAAAAGUGAAAAUGGGGGCGAUGUCAGGAAGGAGGUAACAAGAAAAUGCAAAACAUAUGAAAUAGCUAAUUAUUGCUGAGAGAAGGAGAACAUGUUAAUCAGAGAAAGAAGGCAGGAUUCCCAUUCAGUUGAGGUUGAUGAUAAUGACUUUCUUGUGAACUAAUCUCUGGUGUGGUGGUUUUUCUUCAGGAGAGCUCAGAUACUUAAGUUCAUGGAUUGAGAAGGCAAAUGGAAAAGUUAGACCGCAGAAUGAGGUGGAAGGGCAAGGAAAAGAAAAGUUAAUGGUGGCUGGAAGCAUUAUUGUAAUGAAGGAUGAUGACAUCUAAGUUGGAUAGGGAGGAUAAUAAAUACAGGGGGGACCUUAUGAAUAGGGAUAUGAAGAAGAACGGGGCAUCAGGAUUGGAGGAAGACUCGUUAACAACCUAUGUUAUGCAGAUGAUACAGCCUUGCUUGCUGAAAGUGAGGAGGACUUGAAGCAAUUACUAAUGAAGAUCAGAGACCACUGCCUUCAGUAUAGAUUGCACUUCAACAUAAAGAAAACAGAAAUUCUCACAACUGUACCAAUGAGCAAUAUCAUGAUAAACAGAAAAGAUUGAAGUUGUCAAGGAUUUCAUUUUAUUUGGAUCCACAAUGAACACCCAUGGAAGCAGCAGUCAGGAAAUCAAAAGAUGCUUUGCAUUGGGUAAAUCUGCUUUAAAGGACUUGUUUAAAGUGUUGAAAAGCAAAGAUGUCACCUUGAAGACUAAUGUGUGCCUGACCCAAGCCGUGGUAUUUUCAGUCGCAUCAUAUGCAUGUGAAAGCUGGGUAAUGAAUAAGGAAGACCAAAGAAGAAUUGAUGCCUUUGAAUUGUGGUGUUGGCGAAGAAUAUUGAAUAUACCAUGGACUGCCAAAAGAACAAACAAAUCUGUCUUGGAGGAGGUGCAACCUGAAUGCCCCUUAAAAGCAAGGAUGGCGAGACUCUCUCUUACCUACUUUGGCCAUGUUUUCAGGAGGGAUCAGUCCCUGGAGAAGGAGAUUAUGCUUGGCAAAGUACAGGGUCAGCGGAAGAGAGAAAGACUCUCAAUGAGGUGGAUUGACACAGUGGCUGCAACAAUGAGCUCGAGGAUAACAAUUGUAAGGAUGGCGCAGGACCGGGCAGUGUUUUGUUCUGUUGUGCAUGAGGUCCCUAUGAGUCAGAACCGCCUUGAUGGCAGCUAACAACAACAAAGAUCAGUAGAUUGAAGGUGCCUAUGACACACACACAUACACACACACACACAAGCACACAUACAUACACUCACAGUAUGGUAGUGCUUGAGCUAGCAAGCUGGAAGAAUAGUAGCCUGUGAGCAGAGAAUGAGAUGUUUGGAGUGGUGAUUUCAGUUUUGGUGAUGGUGAGGUCCAAGGUGUGACAGUGGAAUGGCUAACUGUGGGAGUUCAGGAGAUGAUUAUUGAAGGUAAGGAAGUCAAAGAAUCUAGAUCACAAUGUGCUAAACCACAUAGAAUGACAGUGAAAUUUGUGGUGAGAAAAGACUCUGAAGGAUUCCUUAAAUCUUCAGUGAAUGAAGUGGAUUUGCUAGCAAAAAGAAAGAGGGGAAAGCAGUAUGCAUCUCAGAGGAGCAGUGAAACCUUGGCAGAACCCAGAUGCCCAACACUGGCCCUAAGUAUACAAGAUGUGAGACAGUAGACAGCUGCAAUGGAUAUGAAUCUUUGAAAUCACCGCGUUUCACUACGGUAAGGAGACAAAGGCAAGGAAGUGAAAACGACUGCUUAGAAGAUAUGCUGAGGAUAUGGCGGAAGAAUGGGUUCAGUGCUUUCUGGAGUUCCACAAGCUGUAGUCAAAGAUCAUAGGAGGGUGGGAUUCAUUGUGGAGCAGAAAGUAGCUUGGGGAAGAUAAUUGGGGAGGUGAUAGCUGUUGUAAUCUGUCCCAAUAAACCAUGCCUGCCCGUGUCAUGCCUUGUAUAGUCCCAUUUUCAUAAAUCUGGUCUGAGUUAGUGACUGGCUUUAACCGGUAGAAUGUGGUUAUAGUGAGGUAGUGCCAGUUCUAGGGCUAAGCUUUUAAUCUUUUGUAAUCCCUUUUUGUUGUUGUUUACUGUCAAGUCAAUUCUGACUCCUAGCGACUCUGUAGGACAGAGUGGAAUUUCCCCAUAGGGUUUGUUAGGCUAUAAUCUCUACAGAAGUAGAUCAUCAGGCCUUUUCUUUCACAGAGUUGCUGGUAGAUUUGAACCACCAACCUUUCAGUUAGCGGCUGAACACUUAACUGUUGUGGCACCGAGGCUCAAGUUAUAAGCUCUUAAAUGCCAUUAAAGAAGUCUGGCUAUCCUGCUGGAGAGCCUACAUGAAGAGACCAUGUGGAGAGGGAGAAUCCCUAAGACCACGUGGCGAGAGAGGGAGACUGACUCUGUCAUCUCAGCUGAGUCCAGCUCCCAGCCAGUCUGCUAUCCGAAUAUAGCCACAGAAUGAGCACUAUCAAGAUCAACAGAACCAUCCUGCUAUGCUCAGCCCACAUUGCACAGUCAUAACCAUAAAAAAGCUUUUAGCCCCUAAGUUUUGGGGUGGUUUAUUAACAUGAAUAGAUAAUUGAAAUAACAGGUGAGUGGUGAGGCCUGCUUUAGGAAGUAACCAAGGAUUUGGUCUUGAUGUUACCCUAGAAGAAUGCAGGCCUUAGGACAUAACAGGAUCUAGAUAUGGCCUGGACUAAGGGCUCAGAAGUUGUGGUUUGGGACUCUGUGUUCCCAUUUCCACCCUCAGCUCUUGUUAACAACUCUCUGGUUAGCUACAGUGAGGAGGUGAACACACCCUUGGCCUGUUCUUCCACAAUUUUUUCUUCUGGCUCAUCAUCUUAAUUUCCUUCAGUCCUUUCUCAGAUCUGAUUUCAAAACUCCUUGACAUUCUUAUCACCAUCCCUUGGUAGAUUGUGUCUUGUAAAUGGCCGUCUUAAAUGUGGCACCUGGAACUGUACUCAUCAAUUCCUGGUGCGGUCGUAGCUGUACAUAAUAGAAAGGACUAUUACAUUUUCUUGCUUUAGGCUCUAUUCUUUUUUAAUGUAAUUUCAGAUUGGUUUAGGCUUUUGGGGUAGCUGUACCAUUGCUGACUCAUAUUUAGUUUGCAGGGAACUAAAACAUCUUUUUUUUUUUCAAGUAUAAACUGCUAUUAGGUCAAAUUCUGUUCUUGUGGUGUUGAUUUUUUGAACCUAGGAAUGGAGAAUUAAAUUCAGUCUGGCAUGUUUUGGUCCAUUCAUCUCAUCAACUGUCCCCUUUUUGAAUCUUGGUUUUUAUCUUUUUAUGUUACUUAUCCUCUUAGCUGUGCAUUGUCUACAAGCUUUAAAAGUAUACAUUCUCUUACCUUUACCUGAAUUAAUGAUUAAAAACUUUGGGUUGGGGAGAAGGAGGUUGGAGACAGAGUCCUAUGGAAUACCCAUGGAACCUUUGUCUGGGUUCAUGCCAAACAAUUAAAUGACGCGCUCUACCUAGAAAUACAUCUUCACUUUUGUUACAUCUCUCCCUUUAGCAAAAGUUCAAUGAGAGGCCAGUAACUACCACCUCACGUUAUCACGAGAACUCUUAGAAUCCUGCUCCAAGUGAUGGAUCCUGCCUGAUAUUUGUUCCACAGCUAGUAUUUCUUCUGGAUGGACUCAAGGUAUAGCCUAUGUUCAAAAAGAGUAACAGUCAGUCUCACCCAAUUAUAGACCUGUUCUUUUGCUAGGUACACUUUCAAAAUGUAUAGCCUUCUCAGUAGUUUUCACUGAGGUCUUAUAGUGUGUCUUGGGUGAGGACCAACAGGUUGUAGUCUAUUUUGGUAACAUAUUCAGGAGCAAUGGAGGACUUUCCAACAUUUAUGGAUGUCUGUGGUCAGUCUUUAAGGGCCAACUGUAAUUCAGCAUGGAUCAUAAGCUGUUAAUGUUUCUUUAACAUUUGUGUCAUAUAAAACCACUUUGAGGAUAGAGGUGCUCUUGGUAGAUCAAAUUCCAGUGCUAAAUAGUGUAAAACAAAACUGUCUUGCCGUUUGACAUCACCAAAUAACUCAGUACAGCUCUUAGAUGAGCUGUAUGCAUGUCCUUCUGUCAAAGUAAAUAGAAAGAUCAGCACUUUUCUCCAUGUUGUUAGCAAGGCAGGCGAAUGCAAUGGCUAGCUAAAUAGGAAAGCUAAAUGUCUUCUAUGCCAAAGUCUGCAGCAGUUACUUUUUACUUGAUUAACAUGGGAAACAAUUUGUAGCUAAUUCAUUAUAAUUUGUAUAAUGCCAAGGUUUUUAUUUUUUAAUCAUGAUUAACAUGGUCAGCUGGUAGUUCCUGCUCUUAAAAUAUUUGAGACCAAAGUCAUCCCUGUCCUACUUUAUGAUAUAAAACUCUAGUGUCUCAAUUUCUUAGAAUCUUGAAAUAAGUGCAAAAUUAAUUCUUGAAACAGAUUUUGUCUUACAUUUACAGGUUUUUUAAUAUCCCAACUUUGUGUGAAGGUGAGAUGACUUUUUCUCUGGAGAAGAGAAGGGUCAGGUUCUUUAAUUUUUAUAACUAUAUGACAUGUAUGUAUUUGUUAGCAAAGCAUAUAGAUUUUUUUUUUAAAUAAUAAGAACAACCUUGCAGUUUGGGGAGUCCUCUUUUAGAAUCGCUAACUACAAAAUUAACAGCAUCUGUAGUUUAUUGAGAAAUUUAUGUAGAUUAUUUCUCACAGUCCCCUAAAAAGUAGGUGUUACCCUUUCAGUUUUACAAGUGAGAAAACUGAAGGUUAGGGAUGUACAGUACCUUGAUCAACGUCACCUAGAUAGUAAGAGGUAGCGAUAGAGGGUAGAUCUCAUUCUCUCUCCCUCCAGUCUGGGUUCAGAACCACUGUGCUCAACUGCUGUAUUACCAGCUCUAGUUUGAUGUGUCUUUUAUUGUGCGUUAAAGCACGUUUCUUUUUGAAACUAGGCAGAAUAUAAACAAUGAUUUAUUGAGCGCCCUUCUGUUAAAAUGAAUUCAUAACCUUAUUGUUGGAAGCCUUUAAAGAAAUCUUUUUAAGUAAUAUGGUGAAUGGAUUUCAGACUUUCUUUUCCAGACUCAGUAUUUUUCCCUUGAAUAGUUGGCUAUUUCUACAGAUUUUCUUUGUUUUUUUUUUUAUUUCUUUUUAUGUGUGUAGAACUGAAUUGUGAGCAUUAAUGGGGCAAUACCUCUUAUCCUUUCCUAUCCCCUAUCACACAUACGAAGAGGCAGUGGAUGUCAGCAUUUAGACUGGCAGUGGCUUUUCAAUGAGUAUAGAACGAUUUGACAUGUUCUGUCAUUUGUCAAAGAGAAAACUUUAAAUACAUGCAUAUUAUCCUGUGUCAUAGAAGCUUUUAUUAUGAUUGAUUCCUUCUGAAACAGUAUACUAUGCAGAUGUUUUAUUCAUGAGUUGUUACUUCUGCAGAAAUUCUGUGGGUUCCUAUUUCAUUUUCCUCAGCUGAAUAUGCCAUGAUUUGGGUUUUUGUUAAAUUUAUCCUUAUAUAGGCAAUAUUAUUUCUGAGAUGUCGAUGCAUGUUGUAGGGCUAGAACACAGCUGUUUGUAAAACUUAAUGAUUGUUGCCUGCAGUUAAAUUUCCACGAGUUUGUAUAGCUAUUGAAGGCAUUGAUUAUGGAAAAAAAAUUUACCCUUGACUUACAUGGCAAGACUGCUGUCACACCAUGAUUACAAUUUUCCUGUGGUGGCAGGGGCGUUGGAGAGGAUGGCAUCGGAAAUAGAUGACCUUUAACUGGUAAGAGCAGCAAGAGGAACAGUGGACGUGGAGUAAACUCAUCCAUCUAAUGAACUUUUAAACCAUAUGUAUUUAUUAAAACAAUGGAAUAUAAAAAUAUGGACACCAGUAUCAUACUUGCCCAUCAUUCUUUUUCUUUCAUUUGCCGUACUCGCCUUUUUUGGGGAAUUGGGGAGGGGACAUAAUUUGCUCAUAUUGGUAAUGCAAUGGAUUAGUAUAAAUGAUGACAGAAGAAAAGGUAGGUUGUAUCUAAUGGCCACACAUGUUUUUAAUAUUGCUUUUCUGAAUAAAUGCUGAUUACAUUCCUUUUCUUCUCCCCUAUGAAUCUUGUUUCCCUGAAUGUUGGCAGAUAAUCCUAUUAAACAGUAGUACAGGGUAUCCUUUUGUACUUGUUGAGUAUUUUGUGUGUGUGUGUGUGUGUUAACAGGAAGAAAAUUGUAAUUAUCUGGUUAGCAAUUUAGCAGUUCCUGCUUUCUACUGUUUGCCCCCCCAACUCCUUAGAUCACCACUGUGGCUUCCAUACUAGGGUUUUGUUUUUCAUCCUAGAAAUUAAAAGGAAAGAGAAAAAGUGAGCAGUGUUGCUCUAAUUUGAGCCUAGCUCUGACUUCACAAGAACUAGCGAAAACAUUCUUCAUGGACAUAACUUGCUUUGCAAACCAAGGCUGCAGAUUGUCUUUAUGAGGUCUCAUGGUAAAUGGGGAAAACAAAGAAACAAACAAAAACAAAAAAUAAACAAAAGCACUUUUUUGUUUGUUACUUAUUUCUGCCUUGGGCCACAUUAUUUUCUCCAUUCUUCCCUUUCGAGCCUCCUCCCCUAUGUAUUUAGGGUUACAUCAGCCAACAGCCUCUUGUAUGAACAGCAAAGCCCCCUCAGAUGAAGACUGGUGACAUGGCUUUUUUAUUGUCCGUGCCUAUCUGACUGGACGCUGCGAGAAAGUGAUUUCUUUACUUGCCUUUGGAGCUUGUCUUUUUUCUGACUUGUUUAUGGAUUCCUUUUUCUAGUCCUUUCUCCAUGUAUACUUACCCUUACUGUGCCAGGUCAUUAGAAAUACUGGCACUGCUUUUCCCUUUAAAGUGUAUUACAGGUGAUGAUGCCACUUUAUCGUCACAUUUAAGAAGCUGAGGAACUGGCUUGUGGAUUAUUGGAGAGAAUGCCAGGGAGGUGGAGGCUUGAGGUCACCAGCCCUCCACAGGCAGAUUACCUGGAUGGCUAGAUUCCUUUUCUGUACUUGAGCAGACACAAGCUUAUUAAAUGUGACAUGAAUCACUAUUCUUUAUUGCCGGUAUGAUUGUUAAGUAUGCUUGCCUUUUGAAUCUUCCUUAUUGUGUAUAAAUGAUGAUCUACCAUUUACUGUGUGACCGUGGGCAAGUGACUUAAUCUCUUUGUGUGGUAGAUUCCAUAGCUGAGUUUAAUAAUACUACCUACCUCCCAGAUAGGUUGUGAGGAGUAAGAUAUGUGUAAGAUGCCUAGGACAGUGCCUGGCACACACGAGCAUCCAGUAAACAAUAGGUGCCACCACACUGCAGCAGCGGUGGAUGAGUUUUCCUCUCUGGUUUCAGACUGCCUGGGUUUGCAUCCUGGCUUGGCUACUGCUAGUCUUGGGAUCUUAACCUUAUUUUCCCUUACUGCAAAGUUUCCAUACAAACAGUAUUUACCGUGUAAGAUUUUUGUGAGGAUUUAAAGAAAUCGUCCAAGUUAAAUGCUUCGCAUAGUGUCUGGCCUAUAGUAAUGAAUGACAGAUAAUAUUAGCAUUGUAGUGGAUUUCUGGAAAUUUCUUUACUGUCUCUACUUCAGAACCCCUUUAGAGUUGCUGUGAGUUGGAAUCUACUCGACGGCAACGAUUUUUUGUUUUGUUGUUGUUUGUUUUAGUGGUAUAUUUUUUUAGUUACCAAUGCCAUGUCUUUGACGGCUAAAAGAUGUUAUCAACAGACUGCUCUUUCUCUAGGCUCCAAGUUCAGAUUAGAUAUGUUAGAAGAGAUGGAAAAUUAGCUCCUGAAAUAUUUGAGCUUGUCUUUUGAGGUGUUUGGAUUUUGGAAAGGGGAGAAUACAGGUUUUCAAGUUGCUAUGUGAGCUUUCCAUGUGGGCUAAAGAGCGUUUCCCUGCCUCCUACUUAGGCUGCUUUGGCCAAAUCCUCAUAAAAAAGUAAAAAUCUUACUUUCAUAUUUUCUGUCCACAGUGAUGAAAAUAAAUUGAUAUUUUAUUUGCCUUCUUUUAAAGUUAAUGCAUCAAGGGCAACUUAUGACCUUUAAAAAAGUCUCUCACUGUUUCUCUUGGAGACUUUUUUUCCAUUGCUUUUAAUCCUUUGAGAAGAUAUUAAAUUCCUCUCUUUCUGGUCUAUACAUAUUUCAAAUGUUUGUGCAUAAUUGUGUCCUGUCUUAGAUACAGCCUGACUAAAUUAGUUAUAUACUCUGUGUUCACUCACUUUCUCAAAAGUGAAUUCCCUUCUUAUCUCAUUAAUCCUUUCAUUCCUUCUCUAAGCUUAAAAAUUAUUUAUAGGAGGUUUUGCUGUCAGGAGGUGCUCAACAUCUAACUCACAGUUUCUCAUGUGAUGUCCCAAGAAGGAUACUGGUCACCCCUCUUCUUUCAUUCCUAUCCAACCAGAUUAUCAUGGGUGGAUCACAUUUCACCAUAUUAUAUUUUCAUUGUCUCCAAAGCCGGGUCUACUGUUGGUCUUGUAACAAUAGAACUUUAUCCUAUUUAUGGAGUGCUUUCUAAACAGGGCUGUCAUUAAAUUCUGUGAGCUUGGUGUUGCCCAUUGAAAAAAUUUCUAAAUUUAGUCCAACUUGCUUUGUCAUCUAGGUGAUUUUCCAAAUUAAGAAUCUUGAAUGCUUCAUCUACUCAGUGCUAAUGGUGACACAACUGGGACCUGUUCAGUAAGAAUGUAGUAACCCCAUAAAGCAAUAUACUUGAAAGAUAGUAGUUGGCUUGUGCUUUUUAGCCAGUUAUUUCACAUGUAAUACUGUGCUCAUCUGUUCUUCACUCUCUUGUUAUUCUCAUUCUAAAGUAGACGGAGGAAGAACAAAAACUUGUAGGACUUAUUAUUAUUGAAAUGCCAAUAUUUAUUACAGAAUUGGUUGUGUAGAAUUACGUAGUAAGUGAGGAACUUAAUUGGACUAGUAUCAAUCUAAAAUAAAAAAAUAGAAAUGCAGCAUAUUUAUUCCUUAACAAUAAAUAGUUUGAUAUUUAGAAUCAAAACUGUUCAAAUUGGUAUGUUGGAGUUGGGGUAUAAAUGGGGGAGAAGGAAAAGAGGAAACAGUAAAUAUAAAUUACUGAAAGGUGCUGUUUACUUUAGAAUUUUACUUUUCUGUAAGUUGUGUGCUUACGAUUUUGACACUUUUCUUCCAGGGGGAGAGAAGCAGGCAGACCACCGCAGCCAUUUCUUCCCAGUGCGUAGAAGGACCUAACACCUGAUGUUACUCAGCCAGGGAAAUCAGAAAGGAAAUUGUAAGGAGAAACAAAUGUGCUGAUGGGCAGGGUAAAGGCAUGAGUGCUGAUUGACUCCCUUUUCCCCAAAUAGCCUUCCUUUAUGGCAGAAAGUCAGCUGUAACUGAGUGAACGCUGACAGGGACAAAGGACUUUUUAUUUAGAGAAGUCUUGAAUUAUUAAAGAAAGGAUAGGAAAGGAAAGAGGAAAGCCAGGAUUCCAGUCCAGUUUUACAGGAAAAAGAGUUCCUCAGGAAAAGAUAGCAUGCUGUCUAAAAAUGAGAAGAGAAACUAUAUAUACAUGCUGUGCCCUGAAUCAUGAACCCAAUUAAUCAUAUAUGACUGUUAUAAUAAAAAAAAAAAAAUUGUUUCUUCUUUUAACUGAUUAACCCAGUGCCGUUGAGUUUAUUCCCACUCAUAGUGACCCUAGAGGACAGGGUAGAACUGCCCCAUAGAGCUUCCAAGGAGCACCUGGCGGAUUUGAACUUCCGACCCUUUGGUUAGCAGCUGUAGCACUUAACCACUACACCACCAGGGUUUCCAUUUUAACUGAUUAGAGAAUUUUAAUUUACUUUAUAGCAUGAACUGCCUUGUGGAAAAGACCAGUGUUAUCUCUUAUUUAGCAGAUUGGAUAACAGAACCUUGGUGAUGUUACAUAUUUAGGAAAUUUGCCUAAUAAAUGUGAGAUAAUGUGCUACACCAGGAUCCUAAUGUUCCGGUCUUUUCUACUGUUGAUGCACAAGAUUUACCAAUUAUUCUGUUGGUAUGGUUUGUGGCAGUGUCUUGCUUAUGUUCUUUGUAAUAUUUAGGUCAGUGAAUUGCAACAUGAAGAUUUGCUGAUUUAAAUGCUUUGCUUCAGGUUGUCUUCCAUUCUUGACAGGUUUACAGUUUACAAAUACUACAUGUCAAGUAGGAAAAAAGAGUUAUGCUAUAAUUCUUUUGGAAUUAGGAGUAUUGGUUGCAUCUGUCAUUGCUGUAAAUAAUAGUUAAAGUACUGUAUUUGUUUUUAGUUUGAAUCUAAUACUGUUCAUUUAAUGUGUAGUACUUCCAGGAUUCUACACCUCACAAUUCUCUUGAUUUAUAAUUUGGUACAUAUUUUCCUCGGAGUUUUUUUUUCCUUAUAGUCUUUGUAAAACUUGAUCAUUUAUAUCUCAUGUUGAAUUUUGCUUCACUUUACACUGGGUGAACAUACACAUUUAUCCAGGUGAGACCUUGUACAAAUUAGUAGGGACAGUGGACGGUUGGAGCCUGCUAGGGUGUGACAUGCACAAUUCACCCAUGAAAACUGCAGAGCGAAGAAAGGAGGAACUAGGUUGGUUGGUUGUGUGGAUGUGUGAAAAGCAAAAGGUCUGUAUGAGGCAAUCACAGACUUCAGGGCAGCCAGAGGUACAGUGGGAUGCAGGUGAGACCAUAGCAAGUCAUGGAGGCUUUUGGGAGAGGGAUUCUUGGGAGAACACAUGUGUGGCCUAACCCAAGGGGGCAGCUCUCUUCAGCUCCAGCCUUUGUUUACCAGAUUGGAAUGCAAGCUCAAAUAGGAAUGCUGGGUCUUCUUUGUCAAGAGAAGUCAUAGAGGCAGAUAUUUAGGUAUUAUCCUGAUUAUUAAGUUUUGGUAAGUAAUUAAAAAACUUUUUUUUUUUUUAAAACACCACAGAGGAUUACACGUGUGAGCCAAAUAAAGCUUGUCUGGUCCGUGGGUCACGAGUUUGUGAUUGAACGUACACUGAUUUAAUGUACUGAUCAGUGUUACCCCACCCUGGGCUCUCAUGGAAAAUAUUAUUGCCACUCUUUCCUCAGUUAUUGCAGCUGUAUCUUGAUUCUUCUUUCUCUUUUAUUCCUCUAGUCUGUGGGAGAGAAUUUAGAUAGCUCCCCAGGCCUCAGUGUAAUUUAUGUUGGGAAGCACUGGUGGAGAUCUGGCUCUUUCAAGGCAAAUUGCUGAGCUAGAGCAAAAUCUGAAGAGAUAAUCAGAACUCUUUUCAAAAUUCUCUGGCAGGGACAGAGCCAGGAUAAACAAGUAGAGUUAGAGAUUGAUAGAUUGAAUUAACCAGGAAGCAUUAAAAAAAAAAAAACACAGGUUCAGGCAGCCUGACAUCAGUGCUGUGUGAAGAUGAUUCUAGAAUUAUGGAAAGAUUAAUUUCUUCCACAGUGUAGGAUUGUUUGAUAAAGUACAGGACACUCAGUUAAAUUUUAAUUUCAGAUAAACGAUGAAUAAUGUUUCCAUAUAAGUAUGUCCUAUGUAAUAUUUUUUAGUGUAAGUAUGUUCCAAAUACUGCAUGGAGCAUACUUAUACGAAAACAUUAUUCAUUAUUUAUCUGAAAUUCAAAUUUAACCUAUCAUCUUGUGUUUGUAUAUAAUCUGGCAACCUCACACCAGGGGCCUGGGGCAAAAUCUAGAGUCUAGGCCAGAAUAUUCAAAAUUCCCAAGCUACAUAAAAAAGUUGUAUUAAAUUCUUUCAACAGUGUUUGGACUGAUUGUCUGAUGUUGCAGUAUCCUUAUAAACUUGCUGAAUUUUAAAAUGCCCUUUACUAGAAUGGCUGCAGGUGAGGAGGCAGACCAAUCUAAAUAUAUGCAAAGUUAACAUGGAAGUUUCUAGAAGAAUACAGUUUGGCUAUUUGUCCAUAAUGGAAGGCUCUCUGAGUGAAUGACAAAGAUGCUUUGGAGGCAGAUAGAAGUUAUUGCUUAGACAUAUUACAAACACAAUAGUGGGGAGAGUGAUUAGAUAUUAGUGGUUUUUUUUUUUUUUUAAUAUCUAAUUCCUGUUAUUUGGCUGGAAAUGAAAGAUUUGGGGAAGUAUAGAUAAUUCCUAAAUAUUAUGUGUACCAUAGAAACAUAGGAUUCUUUUUUUUAUUUAUGGACUAUUAAUAAUUGAAAAUAUAUGGUAUUCCUCUUGCCUUCCAGUAGUUACCUAAUUUAUUUAUAAAAUCCUGUGCCAGGCCCUGAGGAGAAAAAGAGAUGUGCAAGACAGAUUCGCCUUCCCCAAGAUGUCCUAGCCUAGUUCAAGAUAACAGAAUAAAUGUGGGAAAAGAUAGAGUAAUACACAUAUAAAUGCAUACUGCCACGUGGCUUGUUAUCUAGUGAGGUAGAUAACAAAGUUUUUGAAAUCAAGAAAGAAAUGCUUGAGCUCUUGAAUCUGGAAAAAACUUCGCGGGAGGAGGAAGAAGAGUUGGGAGCUUUGAAAGGAAAAUGGCGAGAGAAAAGUUAGGAGUGCAGCAAGGUAUAGGGCAUGAGUUUGGGGGAAUAAGUGUCCACUUUUUUUCUAGUGCUUGUGACCACCUAUUACUGUGAAAACAUCUCUGGUCAUGGCCACAAGUUAACAGAAAUUGUGAGUAGGUAUUUCUAUGAUGUAUAAUUAUAUCUCAAUUCUCUUUUUUGGUGGUGUUGUUCUUACUGCUAUUUUUACUUUAAGUCCUCUUUUGUAUUUUUUUCUUUAGCUUUCUCUUUUUGCUCUUAUAUGUGCAUUCACUAGUUAGAUAUUUCUGUACUACACUUUUCCUUAUUAGUGGUUAAUGUCCCUUGCCACCAUCUUUAUGACCUUUGGUUGUUUUCAAUGUUCACUUCCUUAAUAUUCUCAUUCUUGAGUUAUAGUGUUGCUUUGUUUCUUGAUGACUUGGUCAAGAGCUUCAUUCAGUAAACAAACAAAAAGUGUAUUUGAGUACCUGUUAUCUAGAGAGGCAGCAAAAUAUAGUGGUUGAGAGCAUGGGCUAUGGAGAUAUGCUGCUCAGGUUUCAUCCUGAUUCUACCACUUACUAGCUGUGUAACCCUGGGCAAGUUAUAUAAAACCUCCCUGGGCGUUAGUUUUCUGGGCUGUGAAAUAAUAUAGUACUACCUCAAAGCUAAGUGAAAAUUAAAUAAGAUAAUCUACACUUUGACCAUGGCAAAUUGGUAUUCUAUUAUUAUUGUUAUUUGCUCCACUGAAGAUGUGGGGUAUGAACAAGACUGAAAAACUCUCUGCAGUUCUGGAACUUUUUUUUUUUUCCUACUGAUAUAAGUGCUGGAGCCCUGGUGGUCUAGUGGUUAAGAGCUCGGCUGCUAUCCAAAAGGCUGGCAGUUCGAAUCCACGAGCCGUCCCUUAGGAACCCCAUGAGGCAGUUCUCCUCUGUCCUGUACGGUUGCUAUGAAUUGGAAUGGACUUCAUGGCAACCGUUUUGGUUUUUUGGGUUUAAUAUAAGUGUUAUGAAGAAAACAGCCUAAUGUGGUAGAGACCAUGCGGAUGUGAGGUUUGGGCAGCUUUGGAUAGGUAGUCAGCAAAGGGUACAUUGAGGAGGUGUCAUUUGAGCCAAGACUUAUAUGAAGUGAGCAGAGAAAUGGAGUUAUUGCUGGAGGGCACUGUUAGGGAUUGAAUUAUAUCCCCCCAAAAUGUGUAUUAAGUUCCUAGCCCUUGAUAAUAGGGUUUUUCUUGUGUUAUGUUAAUGAGGUCAUGCCACUGUAGGGUGGAUCCUAAACCUAAUCACUUCUGAGUUAUAAAAAGACAGGAAUAGAUACUGAGACACAUACAGGAAGACUGAUGCUAUAUGAAGAUUGGCUACAAGCCUGGGAACACAGAGGAACCCAGGAAUGCCCAGGGCUACUGACAAGGGAAAAAUUAACAAAGCUUAGUCUCUGUCUGAUUUGGACAUUUAGCAUCCAGAAGUGUGAGUAAAUAAAUUUCUGUUCUUUAAAGCCUCCUGCUUGUGGUAUUUGUGCUACAGCAGCACUGGGUAACUAAGACAGGCACUUAUGACCUAAAUACCUUUUAAAAAAACAAAAAAGUCCAUUACAGCAUGCUGUAAUGCUGGUAGAUAUGACCCAGCAGAGAGGGAGACAUUGAUGCUACAGGAGAGAGAGGGAAUAAUGGCAUAAGUGCUGUGUCUGAGGUAGGUGGAGGGCAUGGGAUCCAGGGCACAGCUGAAGAGCUUAGUCUUUGUUAGGAGCUGGGACUUUUCUUAAUUUGUUAAAAAGAGAAGGUAGAACAUGGGCCCAGUGCAGAUGGGUGGGCACAUCUGGGAGUGGGAAGAUUAGAGGGCUCCUGUUUCCAGUUGUUUGAUUUUCUCUGUGAAGAAUGAGGCAAGGUCUUAGGUUGAGAGGAAUGUGUGUGUGUGUGUGUGCGUGCAUGUGUGUGCACAUGUGUGUAUGUAUGUGUGUAUAAGGGGAUGGGAGGGGUGGGUGGGCACCAAUUUUGUAGGUUUGAGGAGAGAAAAGAAUGUGGGAAGUAAACUUAUCAGGGAUAUGUAGUGGGAUUUCCAGGCAUUUUUAGUGCUCAUUUUAGAUUUGUAGUCAUGAAUUUAAAAUGAGACUAGUUAGCAUGGUUGCAUGCAUAAACAAACAUUAUUCUCAAAAAAGUACAUGAGUAGUAUAUUUUCUGAGAUUUUCCCAAAACUGAAAAAAAUUUUCUCUAACCUUUAAAGAGUAAUUGAAACUUUACCAUACAGUUAUUUGGUCAAGAAAUUUUAUUCAAAACUCUAUAGUCCAGCCCUGUCCAGUAGAGCUUUCUGUGAUAUAGAAAUGUUCUGUAUCAGUGCUAUCUAAUACAUUAGUACCCUAUAGCUCACAUGUGGCUAUUGAAUACUUGAAGCAUGGCCAGUUUAAUUUUUUAUACAGUAUUUUUAGGCAAAUAAUAUGCAUCUUCUACUUUUGUUUACCAACUGUGCCCCCCCCCGAGGUAUUUUAAUAAGUGCUGCUAUACCAAUCAUUUUUUAUGAGUUGCUGUAAAAAAAAAUUAGUAUAGCACGUAUAAAAAUACCUUGCAGGGGGAGGGCUCAUUUUGGUUGAGAAUAUGGGACUUCCAUUAAUUUAAAUUUAAAUAGUCCAUAUGGCUAGUGGCUACCAUUUUGGACAGCACAGCCAUAGACGUUACCCCUGUCUUCUGACAUUUACUACUGCAGAAGAGAAUCCAAGUUCACUCUGUCUUGAUUUAGAAAUGACGAAUAUAGUUUUAAAAAUAUUUUCCUGUAAUUUGCUGAGUACUUGGCAAUUGCCAGUCCUUUUCCAGGUUUUGAAAGUUUUCUUUUAGUAUAUCUUUUGGAACCUGUGCUAUGUGAUUGACAAAAAAAUACAGGCUGUGCAUACUUGGAUUUAUAUUCCAACUCCACAAAUUAAAACUCGGUGACCUUGGAAAAAUGCUUUAACCUUUCUCAGAAUUAUUUUCCUCCAAGGGUUAUUAUCAGAUCAAAAUGGAGGAUUCAUUCAUUUUCCCUGCCCUGAUCAAUUCAUUUGCAUUGGUUUCUAUUUUGAGAAUACCAGUUAUUCAUAGGCAGGAUUUCUGAUAGUAUCUUCAAAAUGACUGUCUUCAGGUUCAUUCUUUUUAUCUAUUCAUUCCUGGGACAUUUUCUCAAGUUUGUUAUUUAUCCUUCUUAUUCCAUUUUCUGUUGUAUAAAACUUGUGUCUGGUGUGAAUUUAAUUUUUUCUACUGUAUUCUUUGGUCCUCACAACUGGACAAGUAAGCAACAUCAUGAUAAACAGAAAAUAUUGAAGUCGUCAAGGAUUUUAUUUUACUUGGAUCAACAGAGAUGUAUUCCAUUGGGUAAACCUGCAAAAGACAUCUUUAAAGUCUUAAAAGGUAAAGAUGUCAGUUUGAUGACUAAGAUGCAGCUGACCCAGUCACCUCAUUUUCAUUUGCCUCAUAUGUGUGUUAAAGCUAGAAAAUGAAUAAGGAAGAUCGAAGAAGAAUCGACACAACUGAAUUGUGUUGGCAAAGAAUAUUGAAUAUACCAUGACUGCCAGAAGAAGGAGCAAAUCUGUCUUAGAGGAGGUAUAGCCAGAAUGCUCAUUAGAAGUGAAAGUGGCGACACUUCAUCCUGCUUGCUUUGGGCAUGUUAUCAGACGGGACCAAUCCCUGGAGAAGGACAUCAUGCUUGGUAGAGGGUCAGUGAAAAAGAGGAAGACCCUCCACAAGAUGUCUUGAUACAGUGACCGCAACAGUGGGCUCGAGCACAACAAUGAUUGUGAGGGUGGCGCAAGUCCGGGCAGUAUUUCAUUCUGUUGUACAUAGGGUCACUCUGAGUUGGAGCCGAUGGCACGUAACAGCAACCUGACAAAUACUGUACUUUUUUAUUUUACUAUCUGCUUUUCUUAUUCUACCCAUUCUUAUUUAAUAGAGACAGUAUCUUCUCGAAUCCUGGUAGUAGCAUCAAACACGUUUGCUCUAUGUAUGAUGUGCCCUGUCGUAAAAAUACUUAAGAGGUGGAUUUCGCAUUAAAUUUUUAGGGAAAUGUCUCUUGUGCUACAAAUUAUUUCAACGCAUGCUUUUUGUUUUGUUCCCCUCUUUUAUUCUUGAAUAAAUUCACUAGGUCCAGUGUUGGAUAAUAGUCAAAAUUUAGGGAUUACCCUUAUCUCUCUGUCAGUUUCUUUGUCCAGGGAUUGCCAAGUGCAUUUUCUUAGUUCUUCUGCUGGAAGCUGUGUGCUUGUUAUGGGUUAAUUGUGUCAAUCUAGCUAAUGGUUUUGUAUAGUUAGUUGAUCUUUUCAAGGAACCAGAAAAGUUUCUGCAGCUGCCUCUGGGUUGUGAACUACAGGAUAUACCUGGGGUAAUAGGACUCAGCCUUUAGAGAGGAUGUGAUUCAAGAUUCAACUGAGUGCAAUCUAUGCCUACGAAGAAAAUGUACUGAUGAUAUUCUUCUAAAUUUGAAGAUGGCUAAAAGUAUCUCAGAACUACCAUGAAAUUUCUGUCUGUGAGGUCAUAUUUUGAGUGGUGUUUGAAUGUGUCCUCUUUUGCGAAAGCAUUUUCUGUUUCAUGAAACUGCUGGAAUCAAGGCUAAGAGCUCCCAUUAGUGUUGUUAAUCUGGAAUCCAAAUUGAGAUGGGCUCUGGCUGAAUACACCCUCGAGACUUCAAGAAUUGUCCAGUUUGACAAAUACUAGGUUCUCAUUGAUGUUGUUAAUAAUGAUUAACAUAUACUUAUUAUCACUAAGUAUAUUUUUAGGUGGAUUAAAUUAUUUUUGCAUUGUGUUCUUGUCACCAUUAAAGAUUUUACUGGCUGUAUUUCAACAUUGCUAUUAAUAAAUAAAUCAUUUGGCUUUGUUGUAGUGAAAAAAACUACGAGUCUGUUUAAGUUUAAAAACAGAGACUUUUAUUACAGUGAAAAGGCAUUUUGCAAAAUGGGAAACAUAGUGCUGGAGUAAUCUGAACAAAGUGCUUCUCUGAGCUGCAGUGUUACAGAGGCUUAUGAAGUAAAAAAACUGCAAACAGAAGGAUACAGCUAAAGCAUUUUUGAUUGGUUAACAUUUCCAAAGCUGCAGGUUGCAGGGUCUCGGUUGAUUGUCCUUACAGGGGCUGGCUUCCUUUACAAGGAUGGCUCCAGGAGACAGGAUUUUGCCUGACCACUAAAAUCACAUGUUUCCUGGUGCCUAGACAUUUGCAGCCUGUGUUAAUCUGAGUUACCUUAGUAUCAUGGUGAUGAAUGCUGCUGAAGUAUAAAAGUGAGGUUUGUUAAAGGAUUAGGGCGAUUAUAAGUGAAAGUUCUAACAGGUAUUCUAAUGUUUGUUAAGGAGAGAAGGAAAAAAAGGCUUUUGAUACAGAAAAGUUACAGCUUUGUAUUUAACAUCUGGCUAUUUUAACUCUAAGCUGGGCUAGUUAGAAUAAGGUUUGGAAAAUUACAAGUAUGUUUGAGGGAGUUUAAAGGGGAUAUCUUCUUAGAAUUGGCUUAGCCACUAAAAUCACAUGUUUAACACUAUGUCUAACACUGGCAUAAAGCUGGAUAAUCUCUUCUUAACAUUGGCCAUUUCUAACCACAAACUCUUCCUUUAGUAGAGUAAAAGGAGUAGGCAGGUAAAACUGCAGUUUUCUGUAGAAUUCAAAGUUACAGCAGAAAUCUGCAGAAGAUAGGCUGUAUCGUAUGUCUUUAAAAACACAAAACUGAGUCACUUAAGACAGGAAGGAAUUUUGGCCUUGACCUUAGGCAGAAGCCCUAGUCUGUCAGUAGCCUUAGUUUUGAAAUGCUCUUCUCAGCUUUCACAAUGUGAAUUUGUAUAUAUGUUGCCCUUUACGGAAAAAAUUGGUUGUGCCCAGUCUGUCUUCAUGUUUCUCUCUACUCUUUCAGUCAGAAAUAAUAAUUAUUUGGAGAAAUGAAUAAAGUAUUUUAGUUAACAAUUCCAUAUUUUACUUUGAAGCUUGGUGUUAUUUUUUGAAGCCUGAUGUUGAUUUCCCCUCACUCAACUACAUGGAAGAAAUAUUUUGUUCUUCAGCUGCCUGCUAUGACAAUGCCUUAGUCUC